rnacentral:lncRNA from 1 species
CAAUAGUAUCUUCAUAAAUAAUUGUUCCAUUGCAUUCAUUCUUAUGAAAUACAAACCACAAGUCUCUUGUAUGUGUUGGAUUAAAGACCUCAACCAAACACAUUCUCGACUUGCCUCAUGUAGUGCUAAAAGUUUUGUAUGAUUUGAUGAUGUUGUUGUUAUGGUUUGUUUCACAUAUUUUCAUGAAUUGGUAGUAGCACCACAUGUAAAAAGGUAACAUAUUUGUGAUCUACUAAUACGAGGAUCUCACGAAUAACUUACAUCUACAAAACCAAUCAAUUCUAAUUUGGGUACUUUGAGAUAAAACAGACUCAUUCAUUGUAGGUAACGAAGUAUACGUUUGACGUCAUUCCAAUGUCUUCGUGUAGGUGAAGAGUUGUAUCUUGUUAAUAGAUUGACAUAAAAUAAUAUAUCAGGACAUGUGUAAUUAACAAGAUACAUUAGCGUUCAAUUGCACUAAUAUAUGUUACUUCAAGAUCAAAUAGUUCUUGAUCCUCUUCUCGAGGUCUGAAAGAAUCUUUAUUCGCAUCUAGUGAUAUCAUAACCAUCAGAAUACAUGACUAAUGAUAUUUGUCCAUAUAGAAACAUUUUAGUACUUUUGCCGUAUACGUUUCUUGGUGCACAAAAAAACUAUUAUUCAAAAGCUCAAUUUAUAAUCCUAGACAAAACUGUCUUUCCCAAGUCUUCCAUCUCAAACUCUUUCUUCAAAUAAUCUAUAGCUUUUGGAAGUUCUUCAGAAGUUCUUAUGAUAUUUAUGUCAUCAACAUACACAACAAUUAUGACAAAUUAAUUUCUAGACCUUUUCAAAAAAUAAAAAAUAAAUGGACAAAUUGAAUAAUUUUUAUAUCUCUCCCCUAACAAAUAUUCAGAGAAGGUUGAAUUGUGUUUGCAAAAGCUGAUAACUUUUUGAUAAUUUAUAUUGAAAUAAAAAAACUAGUUCGAUUUUGGUGACUUACUUAGUAUAGAAGCAAUCGGAUUCAGAGGCAACAAGCAAUGAAAGCAUAAAUAAUUUGACACGUAAAUUUAUUCCGGUUCACCAUUAACUUGGAUAUAUCUAUCUCCUCAUUCAGAAGGUUUUAAUCCACUAAUUCAAAUACCUUGAAUUACAAAGCAGCUAACCUCCAAGUCAGUCUCCCCAAACAACUAACCACUUUGACCCUACAAGUCAAGUCUUCUCCUAACAACUUGACAACCCCAAAUUGAAGAAGGAACUAACCACCUUGACCCUGCAAGCCAAGUCUUCUCCUAACAACCUGACAACCCCAUAUUAAAAAAGGAACUAAACCACUAUCGGGUUGGAUAUAAAAGAUUGGAACUUGAGUAAUUGCUACUAACAAAGCUGAUAAUAAUAAUAAUAACUCCCACCCUCUAAGAAAAUAACACUCAUAAAAUAUUUCUAACUUGAACAUGUAUUUCUGUCUUUGAACUCCAAGAUGUAUUUAUAAUUUUGAACUUGUGAGUUCUUCUACUAUUUUCUGCUUUUCGAUGUUUUCCUCCAUCAGCCUUGAAUGUCUAUUUAUAGUGAAAAUUUGGCCUUCAAUUUAAUCAUAGUUUAAUUCUGAAUUGUAUCUUGUUCAGAUCGAGUUUGUAAAUUCUUCAAAUUGAUUCUAUUUCAAUUUUGUUUAGAAUGAGUUUGUAAAUUAUUCAGAUUGAUUAUAUUUGUAUUUUGUUCGAAUUGCGUUUGUAAUUUCUUCAGAUUGAUUUUAUUCAUAUUUUGUGGUAGAUAAAACUUGAUCAAAUCUUCUUCAAAUAUUCAUCAAAUCUUCUUCUAAUGUUGAUCAAAUCUUCUUCAAAUAUUCUUCACAUCUUGACCAUAUUUUCUUUUCAAAUUGGUCAAAGAUUUUCUUCAAUAGAUAUGAAUCAAAUCUUAUUUUAGAUUUUCAUCAAUUUAAAUCAAAUCUUAUUUUAGAUGUUCUUCAAUUAUAAAUGUGAAUAAAAUCUUAUUUUAGAUUUUCUUCGAUUAUAAUUUAAAUCAAAUCUUCUUUUAGAUUUUCUUCAAAUAUAUGAAUCUUUUUUCAUACUCUUCGAAGUCAAAUAUAUUGUUCUCAUAAAAUACUUUUGUUAUCCUCAAAGUUCAAAGUAUAAAAUUAACUUGGUUCCAACAAUCUCCCUCUUUUUGAUGGUGAUAAAACUUGUAUUUUUUAUAACAACUUUUCUUUAUAUUUCUUUGGCUCCCCCUAACUUAGAGCUCCCCCUAAGUCUAAGUAUCAUUUCCUCUCCACUUUAUCAAAUAUAUUUCUCCCUCUUUUGUCAUCAGACAAAAAUACUUAAAAUGAAACUUUGUCCAUCUCAAUUUUUUUUUCGUUUUGGUUUUCUCUCUGUUUUUUUUUUUUUUGAAUAAAAUGAAUAUAAUAUAAUACAAGAAAAUAUAAUAACUAUCUAAAACUUAACUACUUUGAAGUGAUCACAACAUCAGUCAUAUAUGACGGUAAGGUUUAAGUUUUUUUUUUUAUGAAGUUAAACUUAUCUUCAAGUAGUGGUUUGGUGAAUAUGCCAGUCCAUUGAUGCUCAAUAUCUACAACAUGAAUGUUUAGUACCCCUUUGUGAACAAUUUCCUAAUGAAGUGGUGUUUGACUUCUAUUUGUUUAGCUCUAGAAUGUAGAAUAGAGUUUUUUUGUUAGACAAAUGACACAAGUAUUAUCACAAUAGAUGAAAAUGUUGGAUUCUAAGAUUUUGUAGUCUUCAAGUUGAUGUUUCAUCCAAAGUAGUUGAGAACUGCAUGUUGAGACAAAAUCCCAAUUUAAUGUUUUGAUGAAAACAAACAAAAAGUUAAUUAAGAAUUAUAAUUAUGAUUCUAAGUGUUUUGAUAUUUAACAUGUGUUUUUGAGUAUGUUAAAACAAGAUAGAUAUCAAACAUCACAAAUCAGAUCAAAGAAAGCAGUUCUGGAAAACGAAGAUUGAUUCUGAAAAACGAAGAUUGAUCUCAAAGCUAUUCAGGAAAACGAAGAUUGAUCUUGACCUUCUGCUGAGAAACGAAGAACGAUCUUCGUUUAUGGCAUAAACAAGGAUAAUUAGUUUCCUUGUAAAAAGAUCAAUCAUGGAAACAUCAUUCAUCUUAUAUUCUCAUAUAGAAUCAGCGAAGAAUCAAAGACUUGCUUCAAUAAAGGCAUAAUACAAGAUAAUUCUUCAAAUGAGGCAAGUGCAAGUACAAAGCUACAAGCUGUAAAGAACACUGCUGAUUGUACCUUUUUAAACCUGCACACGUGACUGAAAAGCAUGCACUCAAAUCAGACAUCUGACACAAGCACAAAGUAUAAGUUAGUUCAUCACAAACAAAUUCAAAGAUCAAUCCUGGUUCUCAAGAUCGAUCUUGGAUGCAGUUGUGAUUACUCUUACUUUAUGACAGACUUUAUCCAACAGCUUUUUCAUGACAACUGGCCCUAUUUCAACGGCCAUAUGAGCUGUCCCAAGCCUUCUUGAAGUCUAUAAAUGCAGCUUCAAGAUGAAGAACAAAACACAACUCAAAGUACCAAGCAAAGAUCAAUCAUUUCAAUCAUACUCAAGCAUCUCAAUAUCAUUCUUAGAUCUUGUUGUUUUUAAUCUUUGUGUUGUGUUAGAAUCAAUAUCAACUGAGUUCUAUUUACAUAAUCUAUUUCUCAAACAAGAGUUGAGAAAAUAUCCAGAUUCUAAACAAUCUCAAAAUCACCACUUUGUAACUCAAGAUUAUUUUGUUAACAUAAGCUUGAGUGUUUUGUAAAAACCUUUCACGUUUUGAAAGGUAACUCGAAAAAUCCUUUCUGAAAUAGUAAGGUAGAACUGAGGAAAUCCUUUCUAGGUAGAAAGGUAGAAACUAUGUAAAGAUCAAGAUAGAUCCGUGAAAACCAAGAACGAUCUUGACUUGAACACUUAGUGAAAAAUCUCACGGUUGUGAGGACUGGACGUAACCCGAAUUGGGUGAACCAGGAUAUAUCCUUGUGUGAUCUCUCUAUCUUUAUCUCUAUUUAUCUUAUGCUUUACAAUCAAAUCAUAUUUUGAUAAAAUUGAUUUUACUGUUUUUAAAGCAAACCAAGAUUGAUCUUCAACAAAACCAAGAUCGAUCUUCAUCACUGCCAAGAUCAAUCUUGGAUUGAGAUCUUAUUUUUAAAANNNNNNNNNNNNNNNNNNNNNNNNNNNNNNNNNNNNCCCCCCCCCUUACUUAUAAUUGAUAUUUCUACUUCACUGCAGCCAACUACUGAAAUGUACUCGACUUCUGUUGUUGACAUUGUGGUGGUGUUUUGUCUCUUACUUGACCCAAAUAUUUAGUUGUCACCUUAAAAGGUGUAGUUGCCACUAGUACUCUUUCUCUCAAGUUAAUCUCCAACAUAAUAAUAAUCACAAUAUCCACUCAGUUUGUAAUUAGGAGAUUUCUUGUAGAACAAGGUAAGGUUGAUAGUGCCUUUUAGGUAUUUAAGGAUUCUCUUAACAACAGUUAAAUGUGAUUUCCUAAGGUCAACUUGAAAUCUUGGACAUACACACACACACUAAACAUGAUGUCAGGUCUGGAAGCGGUAAGGUAAAGUAAGGAUCCUAUAAUUUCUCUAUAGGUUUUUUUUGGACAACUUUUUCGCCUGAAUCAUCUUUUUCAAGUGAACAAGUAAGGUCUAUUGGUGUAGCCAUAGGUUCUCAAUCACUCAUCUUAAACUUCCUAAGAAGCUAUUUUGUAUAUUUAGUUUGAUACGUUUUUGACUUUGCUGAAUUUGUAUCCUUAAGAAGAACUUAAGUUCUCCCGUUAUACUCAUUUGAAAUUCAAGCUGCAUUAAUUUAGAAAAUUAUUGGCAAAAAGUGCCAUUAGUAUAUCCAAAAAUAAUGUAAUCAACAUAAAUUUGAAUAAUAAGAAUGUCAUCUCCUAUUGAUUUUCUAAAGAGUGUAUUAUCAACAUGUCUUCUUUCAAAUUUAUUUUUAAGCAAGAAGUUACUAAGUCUAUUAUACCAUGCCCUAGGUACUUGUUUUAGACGAUAUAUAGAUUUCUUAAGUUUAAAAACACGAUUUUGAAGUUCAGUACUUUCAAAACCUGGAGGUUGUUUAACGUAGACUUCUUCACUUAUAUAACUAUUUAGAAAAUUACCUUUAGCUUCAUUUGAAUAAUCUAAUGUUAUUAUUUGCAGUAAAAAAAAAGUAGGAUACAAAUAACUUCUAACAUGAUCACUUGAGCAAAUGUCUUAGUGUAAUCAAUGUCUUCUUGCUGAUUGUAUCUUUGUUCGACAAGUCUUGCCUUGUUUCUGACCACUUCACCUUUUUCAUUUAGCUGGUUUCUGAAAACCCACUUCAUUCGAAUAAUGUUCUUAUGUGGUCUAGGUACUAGAUCCCAAACAUCAUUCUUCUUAAAUUCAUUUAACUAUUCUUGCAUUGAAAGAAUCCGUCCAUCAUAUGUCAAUGAAUGAGAUGAGAUGUCUUGUACUUCCAUCCAAAUCUUCCUUCUAACUUUCUUGACUGAUUCUAACUUGAUCAGAUUCAUCCUCUGAAGUUUUGUCAUCUUCUGGUUUGUUUGCAUUUGCUUCCUCUAGUUCCGGUAAACCUGCAAUAUCCUCAACUUGCUUUGACUUUUUAAGGUAAAUCUAUUUGUAAUAUAAAAUAGUAUAAAUCAGCAAAACAUAAGUUUUGUUUUUGGUAUUUCCGCUUGUUUCAGAAAACCAAACUUGUAUGCUAUUUCUGCUGAAGUGUUCAGAUUAUGUGGAUCUCCUUGUUCCUCUAAAUUUUUGUGAACCUGCAAAGUACUUAUCUAUCUUUGAUUUUUAAGAACAAGCUUCUUGUUAUCACAGUAAACAUAAUAUUAAACAAUACUUAAAUUUAUACAAAGAUAUAACUUAUAUGUCAACAAUUUCAGUUUCACUCUCAAAAUUCUUUUAUUUUUUCUUUUCUAGUUUUCAGAUUCUGAAUUUUCAUAUUCUCUUAUUAUAGGGUCUGGAUGAAGGGAUUUGAAUUCCCAUCCAGGUUUGUAGUCUUGAUGAAUUUGAUUGGAGUGUUCAAAUAAGUCUCAUAAUUCUUAUUGUUUAUGUAUCAAGUUACUAUAGUAAAGCUGAUGGUAAUUCUGAUUCUUCUGGUAGUUCCGUAUUUGUUGAUAUGUGUGAUUUCUCUGCCAGUUUUGAUUCUGUUGAUACUCUAGAUUCUUAUGAUACUUCUGGUUCAUAUGGUUAUGGUUAUGAUAGGUAUUAUGCUGACCAAUCCUUCUUCCACCAUAGUCAGUUGGCAUCUGUUUGUUAAGUCUUGGAACAUAGACCUUUUUUCCUUCAUAUAUUGCAAGCAUCCAUUGACCAGUCACAAAGAAUGGUGUUUCAAUUUGGUUUCUUAGAACAUUUGCAACAUAAACAAAUUUAUCAUUUGGUACCAAAAUCUGGUUAGCAUAGGACAAGGUAUUUUAGUGUAACAUUUCUUAUAGCAAUUAUUACAUAAAUCAUCAUAGGGCACAAACUUAGGUUCAAUUACUUUUUCUUGAAAUCCUAUUCCUCUUUUACCAUUCCUACUAACAUCGUAAAUCAUAGAUGCGCCAACCUUGUGUUUGACCUAUGUAUUUGAAUUCUUAUCUUAUAACAGUGUUGAUUUAUGUAUUUGAUUUCUUUUCUUAUAACAUAGUGUUGACGUUUGUAUUUGAUUUCUUUUCUUAAAGAAGCGCUUUGUGGGAGGCAACCCAUAGGUAGAUGUAACUUUUAUUUUUGCAAAUUUAUUUUUGUUAUUUGAAUUUUUUUUAAUUGUGUGUAAACGUGCACUAUGAUGAAGAAUUUUUAACAAUUUGAUCUUGGUCUUAAGUUUUUUUUUUUUUUUGUUUGUGAUUUCAAGUUUUAAAUUAUAAUUAUCCGAUCAUGUUCAUUGUUCAAUUUGAUGAGUUUCACUUACGAAUACAUUGUUGAAUACUCUUUGGUUGUGGAAGUCUUAACUUUCUGUAUAAAAAAAUUGUAGUGACAUGUUUGACAUCAUUUUGAUAGUUCAUACAUUCUCUUAUUAUCCUAGUUGUCAGCUUUUGAGUCUAAACACUUUAAUUCUUUGUUAUGUGAUUAUCUAGACAUGUGUUAUCCCUUCAGAACUUGUACUAAUUCUAACUUGCACCAGUUGUGAUUUAUGCAUACUUUGAGAGAAUUUUGUUUGGUCGUUUGAGUCUUUUUAACUAUCAUGCGAAAAAUUUAUCAUUUGUUAGCCUCUUUGAGCAUUGUCGUUUUCUUUUGGUUACUAGUCAAAUUACAAGUCAAAGAUCUAAUUUUAAUUAAACCACCUUACUUGGAGUUAUGUAGGAAAUUUUGUCUCGUCUUGGUAAAUAUAUAACUUUGGGGUUGCUCAUGGAACAUCAACCUUAUAAGUGUGGGGUGGUGUUUCUAAAAAAAAAAAUCAAAACAAAAAGAAAAUAGAAGAAGAAAAAUAAUUUGUUUGUGUACUUUGAUGACUAACAGCUCGUUGAUUCUUUUGCCAAUAUUUUGGAAUCUGCAUAAUGAAAAUGUGAAGAAUAAAAAGUAGAAUAAUUUGAAAUGAGUACAUAACUCCAAGUAGUAAAGUCUACUAUCCUAAAACGUUAUACCCUUACCUAAGUCCGAUUACCACCUGAAAGUCCUCCAAAAGUGUAUGUGUUUGUUGCAUUGUGAUUGCUAACUAUAAUUUUUUUCAAGUCUAUGGUAGCGUGAUACAUAUUCUAGGAUUUGAGUGAUAAACUUAUGACCCUUGCAAAACACUUGAGAGAAAUUUUGAUGAGGUUGUGUGAAGAGAGAGUUGAACUUGAUGAAUGAAUGUUAAAUGAGUUGUUCUAAGUUUACAAAUGUUAUUUUUUUUUGGUGAGAUGUAAGCAACCUUUGAGCAUGUUGAAUGUUUUGUAGUAGCUGUAACAUUGAGGAAUGAGUUUAAACUUGAUUUUAAUUAAAGUUUGGGGUUGUGAAAGCUCUUCAUCAUAUGUUUAAUUACUAUAUUUGAACAAAAAGUUUUUAAAUUUCGGGUUGUGAUAGUUUUUCAAUUUUGGAAACUUCAUUAUAAUAACUUUGAAAACCUUACAAUAUUUUUCCCUGUUUUUUGUUGCAGGGUUAUCUUUUAUGUGUCUCUUCCCAACCAAUAACCUCAAACAUUUUACUUUUGAAGAUUUACCCACUAUAUAAAACUAUCGAAUUCAACAUUUAUUUUAAGAUUCUAAUUUGCUACAUUAAGAAUUAACGAAGUCAGAUACUAUGAAAUUUCAAAAUAAUAACUGGAAUUAAAAAAAAAAAAAAACUCAAUCACAUAAGUCCCUUUUGUGAGAAUUUUAAGGGAUAAAUUGACCAAUCAAAACAAAUAAGACGAUUAAGAAUUUUUGAUUAGGGAGUCAAACAAGGUGUGUCAAACAAUAUUUUUUGGAGUGAGUCUCAAGGCUCACAUAUUUGAUCUGAGGUUUAAGUAAGGUUGCUAUUUUGGUGAUAAUUUACACAAUUUUCUGUUUCUUUUUAACCAACUCUUGCAUGAAUAUAUUUUAUUUGCUCUUUUUUUUUUUCUCUUCCUAAAAACAGUUACAACCAUUGUUUCACAUAAAGUACAUUUGACUAUAAAUAUAUAGUAAGGAUUCAACAAUAAAAAUUACACUUUGAUAUACACAUUUCAUAAGAGAUAUAUUAUUGUAAAACUCAUCUUUAUAUAAACACGUUUUGAAGAUAUAUACCAACUUCCUCAAUUAUCUUUUAACAUUUUGUUAAAAAACACACAACAUUUAAACAUGAUUCUACUAAACUUGAUUAUUGAUGCAUAUGACACAUGCAAUAAAGGUCAUUUGCAUCCUUCAACAAUCAUCACAAACCUUUGACAUAUUUCAAUCAUUUUUUAGAGAACCAUAGUAUAUAUAUAUCCUUUUAUCAAAGUGUCGACCCCUAAUUUUUUCCGUUUUUUCUUAUUAUCCAAAAAAAAAAAAAAAAAAAACUACAAUGGGUAGAGGAAAAACCCACCUAAUGGGUAGGGGCGCGGAGACAGAUAAUUAUCCGCAAAAUUAAAUGGAUAUGGGUACGAGUACGAGUAUUAUAGUACCCACUCAGCCCCGUAUUCGCACUAAUAUAAAUAUAUUAUUUAUUUAUUAUAUUAUAUUAGUAUGUAGUUUAAUUAAUUGUUUUCUUUUAUGUUUUAACAUCUAUUGAUAUCAUUAGACUACUACAAUAUUUAUAAUCAAAAGAUAAACGUUUGCAAAUUUUUUAAGAAAUUGAUUUUUAUGAAUAGACAAAUAGUUGUGACAUUAUAACUAAAAGUUAUGUUUUAUUAAUCGUGACUUUAUAACUAAAAAUUAUGUUUUAUUAAUCAUGACUUUAUAGUUAUACUUGCGACUUCAAAUCAAUUUUUUUUUUCAGAUCUCAAAUAAUACCGCUGUAAGACUUACAACUUCAUAAAGUAUUAUUAUGAAUAUUUGAAUGUGUUUGUAGCGUGUGCUCAUUUGAAAUGCUUUGAGUUAUAACUGAAUUUAAGAUAUUUGGAUAAUUUUUAAAUUUAAUGACAACAAUAUCAUUUAUUUAUCGAUCUAUUUUAGUUAAAGUUUGGAUAAUGGGUAUGGGUACGGACACUUAGAUACCCCAAGGGUACGGGUAUUGAAGUUGAUAUCCAAGAGGAUACUAUCACGAGUAUGAGUAUUUUUUUAAACUGCGGGUAUGAGGACGAGUACUGUAGUACCCUACCAAAAUCAUAUCCAUUAUCAUCCCUAAUGGUCAUAUUAUCUCAAAAAAUUAUAAUUUUUAAAUUUAAUGACAACAAUAUCAUUUAUUUAUCGAUCUAUUUUAGUUAAAGUUUGGAUAAUGGGUAUGAGUACGAACACUUAGAUACCCCAAGGGUACGAGUAUUAAAGUUGAUAUCCAAGAGGAUACUAUCAUGAGUAUGAGUAUUUUUUUAAACUGCGGGUAUGAAGACGAGUACUAUAGUACCCUACCAAAAUCAUAUCCAUUGUCAUCCCUAAUGGUCAUAUUAUCUCAAAAAAUUAAACUACUGUGCUUGUUCUUUGUCAAUCAAUGCAAAUCUAAUUGAAAUGGAGUCUUCCCUUGCUAGUUUAUGUAUUCAAACAAAUCCCAAAUAAAUUAGAUAAAUUCAAGAAUAUAUGUUAGAGAAAUGUUCAAUCAAGUGUUGUUGUGAGUCCCUACUUGAGGAUUUUUGUUCUCUGAAAUGCAUCAAGUCAGGAGUAAUAAUAACUUGAUUUGGUGGUUUGAGCAUAUGAAUAUAAAGGUUUGUUUGAGAGUUUUGGAGGAGAAGAGAAGGGAAGGUUUUGAACAAAAAAAAAAAAAAAGAGAAAGUAAAAGGAAUAAAUGAUUUUGAGAGGUGAGGGCUUUAGAGGGUCUAUUUUUCUUCAUUAUACAAAACCUUCAUAAUAUGGGAGAACUACAAAAAUAUAUUGGAGGAGGAUUUAGCUAAAUUCUUCCACUAUAAUACUUUAACAAUUAAAAAUUCAUUCAUCCUACACAUUUUGAGUUUUUUUAUUAAUAUAUUCUUUUUUAUUUAUUUUAUCCUAAUUUGAAAAUUAUUUAUACGAAUGUUCUACUUUUUUUUUUUUUUAAGUAGGAGGUCAUUCCCUAAGAAAGCGACCACCUGAAGGCGGAUUUUUUAAAACUCAAUAGAAGUUUGUUUCUUAGGGAAACGACUUCUAACUGAGUAAAUGUUUUUUGUUUGUUAUAUUUUAAUAUUUGUUUAUUAUUAGAGUUAUUAAGUUAAUUAUUUAAAAAAUAAAAAUACUAAUAAUAAAUAAAAUAAAAUAUAUUAAUAAAUUAUAAAUUUUAUAUUUUAAUUAUUAUUAUAAUAAAUAAUUAUUAUAAUUAAAAUGAUUAAAUAAAAAUGAUUAUAUUAUAUUAUAAAUUUUUAAAAAAAUACACUAAAAUAAAAAAAAAACAUCAAAUUUGAGUAGAUGUACCAUUAGCGUAUAGACAAUGUUUUCUAGUAUGACCAGAGAUCCGACAUUACCCGCAUAUAAUUAUUGGAAUCUUAUACCUGAUGUGUAUAAGGUGAAAACAGUACUAAAAAUCUACGAUGAAGCGUUCCUGUUGAGACAAAAUCUCUCAAAUGAUUUUAAUGAUAACAAAAUUACUUAAGAGAUUAUGAUUGUGGUUAAUGACUAACAUGUGCUCUUGAGUGUAUUCAUAUAAGAUAAUAGGUUAUUAAUCAUUAAGGCAAAAAGAAGAAAAAAAGUGAUUUUGGCCUGAGGAUGGAAAACCCUCGUGAGGAUGGAAAUUGAUGCAAACGCGAGGAUGGGCUGCAAGUUGAAAAACUCCAGAUUUGGACAAUCUGAUCUCUCACCAGAACAAAUGUGUUUAUUCAAAUGCAUAACAAUGUCAAACAUGAAUAAACAAAGCAUUCAAAAGUAAGAGUCAAAAGGUCAAAAGAAAAAGGUGAAUAUGGCUAGAUCUAGUAUGUAAAGGAUAGGCUAGCAAAAGUGAAAGCAACCUAUCAAGCAUGUGCAAAGGUCAAAAUCUGAACAUUUAAUGGGCUUGCACGUUUUAAUUCAUAAGGAAGUCAAGUUAGCAAAAGGAAACUUGAAACAAGCCAAAAAUGGAAGAUCACAUGUUGCUGCCAGAUCUGAUCCUCGGACUGAGUAUGACAGUCCUAUGUCAUAGGGUGGCUUUUUCUCUCUUGUCAACAUCACCUCAAAAGAUGAAGCCAACCUAGACCUUAAAGACUUCGAAAAAUGCAGCUCAGAAACAGCCUUGCACUCUGAUUAAAGAGAAAAAGCAAGGACAUGUCAAGAUCAAAGCUAUGCUGCAAGAGGAUGGGUUCUGCCUAAGCCUAACAAGCUGAGUGGCAGUUCUGUAAUUUUGAUGAAAACCUUGGAUCCUUUGAAAAUGAGCUCCAACGGUCAUCAAAGGCUUGGAUCUCUAUAAAAUGCAUACAAGCUCUCCAUUGGAAGACACACAACACACUUGCAUAAAAAGAUCAAGCAUCUUAAAGCUUUCAAGAAGCAAAUCACAUCCUCCCUUAUUACUUUCUUUGAUCCUACACUAUAUCUUUGUAUAUCUUUUGAGAAAGUAUUAAGUAUCAAUCACUCUCAUUCUACUUUGUAAUUUCCUAGUGAGUGAAGCUUGGAAAUAUUUGGAAAUUGAUUGUAAGCUUGGUGAAGCUUGAUAAUACACGGUUGUAAUCAUCCUCGGGUUGAGGAUUGAUCUGUUUUGAAAGUUAGUGAAAUCUCACAAGGGUGUGAGGACUGGACGUAGCCAUCUUUGGGUGAACCAGUAUAAAAUUGUGUGUGUGUCCCUCAUAUUCUGCUCCUACUUUUUUACUCAGCUUAGAUCUAACGAUUUAAAAACCCCAUCCUCGAGCUAGCCAUCCUCUGCAAGAGGAUAGUUUUUAAAACACUUAAAAAUUGUUUUUAACAGCAAAAUCCCUAUUCAACCCCCCCUUCUAGUGAUAUUUAGCUACAUCAGUUCCAACCCAUACCAAACGAAAGAUAUUGGCCACAAUAUAAAGGUGUUAAGGCGUGUCACAAUCCACUAAUGCAGACAGUCAAGAAAUAUCGUUCAAAGAGCAAACAUAUUAGAACAGAAAUGGUGUUGACACAUCUACUCAAAUUUGAUGUAUUUUGUUUUUUAAUUUUAAUGUAUUUUUUUUUAAAUUUAUAAUAUUAUUUAAUCAUUUUAAAUAUAAAAAUUAUUUAUUAUAAUAAUAAUAAUUAGGCUAAAUUACAUUUGUGGUCCUUUAACUUAAUUGCAGGUAACGUUUUAGUCCUUUAUCUUUUUUUUUUUUCCGACUUGGUCCUUUAUUUUAAUUUUAAGUGACAAUUUGAUAUUUUAUGUUUUAAAAUUUCAACAAUGAUAUCCUUUUUUAUACAAAAAUUCAAAAAAAAUUUCAAUCAAAACUCAUAAAAUUCAUUAUAUUCUUCAAUAUAAUACAAAUUUCAUCAAAUUCGUAACGCGAAUCUUCAAAUAAAUUCAUAUUUUCAUACUUUAUUUGAUAUUUUUAGGAAUAAAUGACUAAAUCGGAAAAAAAAAAAGAUAAAAGACUAAAACGUUACCUGAAAUUAAGUUAAGGGACUACAUAUGUAAUUUAGCCUAAUAAUUAAAAUAUAAAAUUUAUUUGUAAUUUAUUAAUGUAUUUUAUUUUAUUAUUAGUAUUUUUAUUUUUAAAAUAAUUAAAUUAAUAACUUUAAUAAUAAACAAAUAUUAAAAUAUAACAAAAAAAAAAAAAUUACUCAAUUAGAAGUCGCAUCUUUAGGAAACGGUCUUCUAUUCAGUUUCAAAAAAUUCGCCUUGAGGUGGUUGCUUCCGCAGGAAACAACCUCCUACUUAAAAAAAAAAGUAGGACAUUCGUGUUAAUAAUUUUUAAAUUAAAACAUUUUAAAAAUUAAAUAAAUAAAAAGAAAUAUAUUAAUAAAAAAACUCACACAUUCUUAUAUAAUUCUCUAUAAAUUUACUCUUAUUUGAUUUUUCUAUAUUUCCCUUUCUUUUCCUUCCUCCAAAGCCCUCCCUUCCCUUUUCCUGCAAACUUCCAAAAGUUUGAGAGACAAAGAGUCCUAAGUUCAACUAAACCCACUAAUAUUUCCAACAAUUAAUUACUAAAUGCCAUUUUAGAUAGAAAAAACAGUUAAAUCACAUUAAUUAAGGAGGUUUAAUUUUUUUUUUUUCCGUAAGCUAAAAUCUUAAUAAAGCCACUUCCAAACAUUGUAGUGUUUGGCCAAAAGAAAAAUCCACCAAAAAAGGUAAAGUACCACCAAGUUUCUAUCAUCUAACCAACCACUUAUUGACACGUAUAUACCUUACCAUAAUUGUAAUCUUCACUUUAAAUAUCCGGUUAUAUGUCAUAACCCUUAUUAGAAGCUAUAGUUUGCGUUUAGGCCACAACCAAAUAAUUUAAUGAAUGCGAUGAUAUCUUAGCUUUUCCUCAUAAUAUUAUUGUUCUUGCUUUUUCCUUAGUAAGACCAAAGAAGAAAGGAAAAGGAACCUAUUCUUUAAACAAGGCAUGCCUUCUUUUAAUAAUUACUUUCCACACCCCCUCCUUCUCCUUCUCUUUCAAAACCAUGGAAGAUUUGAACAUGAUUGCUGCCGAUUGUGUUGUCAUAUCAUGCUGCUGCCAAUGCUUGAUCUUGCAAAUUUUUGUACUUGUGUUGCGCAAGAUGGUGAGGAAAACAAGAGAAUAUGGUAAGAAAAUAUUUUGUCAAAAGAAGGGGGUGCAAAGAGAAAUGGGUUGUUAUAAAGAUGUGGUUUUGAGAAUUCAUGAACAAUCCUUCAGGGUUCAAGAGGAUAUCGAUCUAAAAGAUGGUGAUUUACACAAUUGUGGUUGUUGUAUGGUUGAAGUUGAGAAAGUGAUGGAGGAACUUUGUGAGAAGGGGGAGUUUGGAUUUGGAAGCUUUUGGGGUAGGAAGAGGCCAUGGGGUGUUACUAAAGUUGUUAAUGAUCAUAAUGAUGCUAGUUUUGUAAGAUAUCAAAUAAUUGAUUUGGUUGGUUCGUUAAGCAAUGCUUAAAAUAUAUAUAUAUAUANNNNNNNNNNNNNNNNNNNNNNNNNNNNNNNNNNNNNNNNNNNNNNNNNNNNNNNNNNNNNNNNNNNNNNNNNNNNNNNNNNNNNNNNNNNNNNNNNNNNNNNNNNNNNNNNNNNNNNNNNNNNNNNNNNNNNNNNNNNNNNNNNNNNNNNNNNNNNNNNNNNNNNNNNNNNNNNNNNNNNNNNNAGAAUUUAACUCAUAUUUAAAAUUUCAAUGCUAAUUAAUGUGAUGAUUUUGUUGAAUAUUCUUUGGUUUAAAGUCACUUUCCUAAAUAUUUAUUUUUGUAUGUAUAAUUUUUUUGCCACAUUUAUGGUUCUUAGGUUUGGGCUCAAGAUAAUUGCUUGCAUAUAUAAUACCAUGGCUAAACCUUGUCUUUGGCAUUUCCAUAGCUUUACUAAUAAGCUCUAAUUAUGGUAAUGGUACUAGUGUUGUGUACGGCACUAAUUAUAAGACAUGGAAUAAUUUUGUUUUUUUUAACAAUUGAAAAGUAUUUUUGUAUUCUGUUUUUAUUCAUUGCAAUUUUUUAAUAAAAAUUAUGAAAUAUUUUAAGGGUUGUGCAAGGAUACAGACACUUGGUUGGUAUUUUUCAAUUCCAUUUUCAUACAAAUUAAGCUUUUUGGCAAACCUAAACUUAAAUUAGAGUUUUCGAACAGAUUUUUCCAAUUUAUUUCAUGUGAAGUUAGUCGUUAGUCUUUUUCUUAAAAAAUAUUUUGACGUUAAACUAACUAUUUUUUAUACUUUAUUUCAUGUACAAAUUUGUCAUCGAAUAUUUUACUAGUGAUUUGAAAUGGUAAAUUAUGUUCUCUAUUUAUUAAGAUAGCAUCUAAAUCAAAUCAUAUUAAUUGUUAUAAUAUCUAAUAUUUUAAAGUUAACAUAAUAUUUUCCGGUCAAGCAGAGUCUAAUUAUAAUACUUAAUGGUGAAAUAUUUUUUUUAGUAUAUCACAAUGAAUAUGUACACAAAUUUAUAACGCACCAAUAAUAAAAGUUUGUUCAAUCAUAUAAAUAUUAUAAAAAUAAAUAACCAUUUAGACAUAAAAAAAAUAUAAACUGUUCAAAAUUUUAAAUUAAGUUCAACCACCUUAGUGUAUUUUUGCCCAUCAAGUACUAGUAUUCAUGUAAACAAACCACCAAAUAUUAUUAUAGUUUUGUCCAUCAAAUACUACUUUCUUUUUUUGGAAAAGGUCCAUCAUCAAAUACUAUUGAUAUAAAAUUACUUCUGCGGUCUUUUAUUUCAUUUAUAAUAACAAUUUAAUUUUUUUAAUCUUUUGUUUCAUUUAAAUAUUUUAUCUUUUAAAAAGUGUUUAAAAUUAUCGACUUUUAUUUACAAAAUUUUGUUAUAAAUAAUAAUUAUAUUUUAAGUUGGUUGUCAACAAAAACUAGCUUAAAAAAUAUGUUUUGAGUCGGUAUUGACUUCAGAUGUGCCUCAAAAUACUUUAUAAUACGUUGUUUUAAGUCAACUAAAUAUGAAUUUGUUUUUCUAUUAAAAAUUGUUUAUAGAAUUUCACUAAUAAUAAUGUCUUGAAUAUAAAAAAGAAAGUCAAUAAAAAUGUGAUGAUUAACUAAAGAUAUGUAUCUCUACAAGAGCAUGAAUUAUUUUAUUAGUUUGUCUUCGAAUAAAAUCUACUUGUAAAUUUUUAAAAGCUAAAUUAGAAAAUAAAACGACAAUCAAACAUAAUAGCACUAAAUUCUAAAAUAUUCAAUUGACUUUGACUAAACUUAUCAACUACAUAUUUGAAAUUCAAUUUGAAGUCAAUUGAUUCAACUUGACGCUCUUAAACCAAUUACAAAAUAUGAUGAAAUAUAUAUUUCAAUUUAAACUUUAUUUUGUGAGGACGAAAAAGAGACAUCGAUAUUGCAUUUAUAUAUGCUUAGUAUUGGUUUUUUUCUCACAUUCGCCCUUAUCCGCAACAUAGGAGCAAUUCAAGCUUCUUGAACUUGAUGAACUAGCUAUCAAUCAUCAAUCAGUUGAGUAAACUAAAAUCUGUAUCAAUCAGUUUUUUUCUUCUUAAGUUGGCUGCAAAAUGGCUUAAAUUAUACUUCACAUAUUAGAUAUUAAGUUAUAUAUUCUAAGACACUUAUGGAUCCAACAUAAAAAAUGAUGUCUUUUCUCUAACGGUAGCUUUCUACCAUAUCAUUGGAUCAGGUUGAAUAUUUGAGUCAACAGUUAUGCAAUUCAACUAAAAUUAUAUAGCUAUUAAAAGUAUAUAUUAUACUAGAUUUAUUUUUUAUUUUAUAAUUCUAAAAAAAUAUUUUAUAAAAAAGUGAGUAUUAAUAUUAAUUAAUAGUAUUAGUAAAAAAAAAAUAUUACUGAACAGUAUAUCAUAUAAUAUAUAUAAUAUUUUGUUUAGAAUUUGGAUUCUAAAAUAGAAGUAAAAGAUAAACUAGUGGUUUGUUACAAGGUAAUGGAUACAUGAUAGAGUAGAAACAACACAUGUUGUUAGCCUAAUGCCAUGCGAGCUCUUUGCAAGUCUGAGAUUCUAUUUCUGAAUUUUUUAAUUUAAAUAUACAACAAAAAUUGAACCGGGUCAACCAAUUUACACAGAAUUCCUAUGUCCAAAUUAAUAGAAGUUGGAGGAAGCGUAAAAUAAUGAAUAAUACGAAAUAUUUUACUGCAGUAAAUCCGGUAAAAAACGGAUAUUUGUCUAAUCAUCAUGACGAAUUUGGGGAGAUAGCAAUUCAUUGAAGUAAUAAACUAAUUGUUGUGUUAGAUCGGUAGAUAAACAGCGGCAUCUUAUCUUAAUUUUGCCCCACUCACGUGUAAAGGUAAAGUUACAUAUAUUAGUUUUAGCCCAAAAUUUGAUUUACCUAAAUAUAGGUCUUCCGACGCAAAGACAACAAAAACAAAAAAGCAAGUUUUCCAUCCAAUCCAUACAUCAUUGACUUACGUUUUCAUAUAUUCAUUUACUCAAUUUCGGUUUUACUAUGCCUUACGCGUUUUCUUUCCAACCCCUUUGAACCAAUCCAAUUUUUUCUAAUCAAAUAUAUCAUUGUCACACCUAGCACAUAACCUUACAUUCUCUCCAUCACCAAACAAAUACAACAUCAAAAUCAAACCCAUUAAUUAGAUCUAUCUAUUCAUAUUCUCUUCCUCCUAAGGCCUAGAGGCCUUCACCAACGUACGACCAUGUCAAUGCUCCAAACCGACGAUCAAAUCAAACAACUCAACGACAUUUUCAAGCGCUUCGACAUGGACUCGGACGGAAGCCUAACCCACCUCGAACUCGCCGCGCUCCUCCGGUCUCUCGGUAUCAAACCAUCCGGCGACGAACUUCAUGCCCUAUUAUCCAACAUGGACAACAACAAUAACGGAUAUAUCGAAUUUGAUGAACUUGUUAAUGCAAUCAUGCCGGACAUGAAUGAGAAUGUUCUCCUAAACCAAGAACAACUUUUGGAGGUUUUUCGCUCGUUCGACCGCGAUGGUAAUGGUUAUAUCACCGCGGCCGAACUAGCUGGAUCCAUGGCAAAAAUGGGUCACCCUCUUUCAUAUCAUGAACUUGCUAACAUGAUGGCUGAAGCUGAUAGCAAUGGUGAUGGUGUUAUUAGUUUCAAUGAGUUUGCAACCAUUAUGGCUAAAUCAGCUGCAGAUUUUUUUGGUGUUAAGGCGCAAUAGAUAUAAAUAUAUAUUAGAUCAACCUUUAUGAUGAAAAGUAAAUCAUGGGUUUGAUUUGUGAAACUUUUCAUUUUUUUUUAUUGUUUUUUAGGUUAUAUAUUGGUGUAAAUUAAGGAGGAAGAAAAAGAUAAAAAAAAUGUUGAAACAUAAAUGGGAAAUAUUGAAAAACAAAAUUAAUUAUGUUUGACAUGAAAGUUGACUAAUUGUUGUAAAUGUAAUUUUGUAGAUAUCUACGAUUCGUUAAUUUUUGUGAAUGCUCUUGUUCUUGAUCUUUUGUUUGAUAUAUUAUAAAUGAAUGUGACAAACUUUCUUUUGUUAUUUACGAGCAUUUAUUUUUCCACUUGCAAGAGCUUUGAAGACUUUAAUUUCAUAUACACAUGUAGUUGAAAUGUAUAUAAUGUCAACGAGUAGGUGUUAUAUAGGCACACACAAUGAGGAAGUAGUUUAUUAAAUUAUUUGGAAAUUUUAAAAUGAUUAUUUUUUGAUACAAAUCUUCUUUUCUCUCAUAUUAAAAAUGUCAUUUGGGUUUGAGCAAUAUUUAAAAAAAAAAUAUUUAGAUUGAUUUUAAUGGUAAAACUAGUAUUUACAUUAAAUAAACAAAAACAGUAUUUACAAAAACACACUUAUUAAUCAUUGUAGUGGUCGGUAAUAUGUUUGUAGGAAUUACUGAUUUUUGAGAUUUCAAAGUCCUUUGUUGGUUUUGUUUUUUAAUUAAUGCAAGGGUUUUUAUAAAUUCACAAAAAACUCAAGCAAUCAAAUCAUCACUCAUUGUAAUUCAUGAUGUCGUUAUGAUUUCAGCACUCAUUGUCAUCAUGAUUUCCUCCAACUAUCGAUUUGAAAGUUUUGUCAAAUAAUAAAUUCUCAUUUUAGAUCAAAAUAAAUAAAACAUUUAUAAAAAAAAGGAGCAAGUCAAAGAUUUAUAUGAUUGCACAAAAAUGAAAUUCUCAAUAACACUGUUCUAUUUUUUUACAAAAAAAAAAACAAAAAAAAACCAGCUCUAUCUCAUCCUAAAAAUAAUUCUUGCUUCUAUAUACAGUAACAGCUUCUAUCUGUGAUACAAAAGAUGGUAUAUGAAAGCUAUGUGUACUUAUUUUUCUUCCCAACAUCAGAACCAAAUAAUGUUGGUUCCAUGCAUCAUACUAAGCAACAUAUUCUUCUGGUUGAGAUGAUCCAUCAAGCAAUUCCAUGACUAUGUGCAAAGUCAUAAACAUUUUCAGGAAAACUAUACAACCCUACAGGAUUUAAUGACUAAAAACAAUAUAUCAAAAAUAUAUUAUCUACGGUUAAGAAUUUUGUCUUUGCCCAUUGAUCGGUUUGCCUUGGCAGCUAAACGACCUGUUGAACUGACAGUCAUUGGCUGCAACAAUAUUUGUUGCACCAUAUCACAGUAUUCGGGUUCCUCGAUCUUCCUUUCGUACCUUCUCCACUGUACCAUUUCAUGAUACAUUGGAAAGAACCGCAUCUGAAUUGCUUUGUAUGAGAAGUAUGGUAUAAGGGUCGCGAUCACCACAAAGAAUGUUAAUAUCCAAUAGGUAGGUGAAGGAGCAAGAGCUUCGACGAAAAUUUUGUAAGCGUUUCCAGAAUACUUUUGAGGCACGGCUCCAUAUAUUAAGAGAAAAAUGUACCAGAAAAAAAUGGAACCCCAAAUGAAAAAAUGUUGGAUCAAGGUGAAGUAACUUAUAGCUAGUGCCAUUUGUAAGUUUACAACCCAAACUACACAAGUGAACAUGGUUGUUCCGAGUAUAUCUCUUCCAGCAGUUCUUCCCUCAUGAUCAAAGGCUUGGAGUUCCAUUGCUUUUGUGCAAAAGAAAAAAAUUAAUAAGGCACUAAAGAAUCCGUUAAGCAUCCAACUGAGUACUCGACGCCAGCUGAAAAGGACAUUUUGUACUCCUUCUUGAUAUAACAAAGGAAACUGCAUACAUUGACAAUAAGUUAUCAUCAGAGAAGCUGAUAUGAUCCUCGUCAGAAGCAUAAGCAUUUAUCAUAAGCUGCUAAUGUAUAAGCCGUUUUUAUGACAAAAGAUACAAUAAAGUUAAACUGUUUGCUUACAACUUAUAGGUUGUUUUCAUAAGCUAUCUAGAAGAACUUAUGGAAAUAACUGAAAACAAUUUAAGGAUGUCAUAAAUUGUUUCUACAAAUUCUCCUAAAGAGUCUCGCAUAUGAUUAAAAAGGUAUAUAAACUCAAAUAAGUCAAUCUAAAUAGGUGCUAAAUCUAGUUCUGAUGCAAGUAUUAUGUAAUCAUGAGUACUACCGCAGGUUAUUUGUUGAUUUUCUUUUUUGUGGUUUCUCUUUGCUCUUAUAUCAAAACAGCAAGCUAGUUAAUGACUGAACAAUAGUGCAUAUUGCAUAUUUGUCACAACCAAAAGAUGACCUACAAAUCAGAUGGUGAUGAGAAACUGACCUUCAGACAGUACCGAGCGGAUACAUCCUGAUCGAAUACACCGAGAGCGAUCACAGGAAGUGACGAAAAGAAAACAUUAUAGAGAGCUAAAAACCAGUCAUUGUAUGCAGGUAUUCCAGAGAAUGAUGCAUAAACCUCAUAUAAGAAUAGUGUGAAACCAAAUGUGAUGUUCUUGUAGAAAAAAUAGCAUAUCUGUAAGAAAAACAAUGAACAAAAAGUUAACACCACCAAUGAGGUUUCUAUACAUAUUUUGGAACUUCUCUAUAAUCUAGAGAUUCAAUUAUAGGCUCAUUAAUACCAUUGAUGAGAUCCUCCGGUAACACCAAUGUCCGUGCACAAGAAGUAAUCGUUCCAAAUAUCGGAAUUGUGCAAUUGCGAUAUCACUAGACAUAACAGCCUGUGAGAUUAGGAGGAUAAGAAAGAAAAUGUUGUUUAGAAUACAGCAUGUAAAAGUAAAAAAGAAUUAAAAAACCAUGAAUAUUGUGUGAAUUUUCACAGCACCUGCAUUCCUUCAACGCCGCUUAUACCAACCCCGAUAUCAGCUUCUUGAAGCAUUCCCACAUCAUUAGCUCCAUCGCCAAUAGCUAAUGUUGUUUUCCCAGUUCCAGAUUUGACCAAUCUAGUGACCUUGAAAAAUGUAAUUCUUAAUCUAGUGACCUUGAAGAGAAAAACUAGAUAAAUUAUUUCUAAAAAAUGUAAGCAAAGGAUAGGUUGAAAAAUACCAGUGCUUUCUGCUUGGGGGAUGAUCGACAGCAAAUAACAGAUGCACAACGAAUGGCAAGCUCCAGAAACAUGUUCUUCAUAUCAUCCUCAAGUGCAUAAGCAAGUGAUUUGCCAUCAAUUAUUAGAGCAAAUUCCUGGUGAGAGAUCCCUCUGUGUGCAGUAAGCUGUGCAGCACCUUCACAUAUCUGUAAGAGGACACUCUGUCUUGAUGUCUAAAAGAUGAAUCAGAAAAAAAAAUAAAAAAUCAGGAUACAAAUUCCCAACUCUAUAUAGUAUCGUCAUUAGUACACUAACAUACCAUAGAAUCAUAUUAAUUGAGUCAAAGACAAGUUUUAAGGUUAAAAAGUAGAUUGAAAGGAACAAAAUAAUGAAAAACUUAAAGCAGCAAAAAGGUUAAAUGUACCAAGCAAAAUCAAACAACUCUAAGCAUACCAGCUUGUAAUGCCAAGCUAAUGCAGUUAUUCGUAAUUCUUAAUAUAAUAUAAUAUAACUUUCCCAAAGAGCUUUGUUCAGAAAACCAGAAUGGAAUAUAAGUUCAAAAUGUCAGAUAUCUAAGGGCCUGACUGAAUUAGUUUAUUUGAGUUUAUCUAUCGGAAUAAACACUUGUGAGAUUAUUUGGGAGAACUUAUGAAAAUAGCUUAUUAUGACAUGUUUGUAAGCUGUUUCCAGCUUAUUUCCAUAAGCUCUUUAGAGUAGCUUACGAAUACAAUUCAUAAGUUAUACGAAAAUAAUUUGAUUUGAUUAUAUCUUUUGUAUAGAAAGAGCUUAUGCAUAAGUACUUAUACGAUAAGAAAUUAUAUUAUAAGCACUUAUGUUAUAAGUGCUUAAUUAAGUUGUAUAUCCAAAUAAGGCCUAGGGCAGAUUAAGCCGCCAUGUCAACUAUAAUAAUAUAUUUUCCUGGAAUAUUUUGACGUUGAAGAGAACAAACUUAUUAACACGCAUGCCCAAAAUACACAUUAUACUUUCUAUAUACAAGCUACACCAUGGUAGAUAAAUAAAUAUAUAAAGAGAUGAAAUUUUUUUCUUUACCUUGGUAAUAGCUAUCUUGUCCCCAUCCUUCUCCAAUGCUUGAAUUUCGGGACUAUCCAAAUGAAUUAUAAUCUGUUUCAUUCCUUGUCUAAGCAAACUACAAGCAAAGCUGCAAUGGAGAAUUUAUAUCAGUUAACUUGAAAAGCAAUUCUCAUAGGGUGAAGCCAUACUACAAAAUGCAUAAUAAUAUUAUUAGUAUAAUACCCAACAUUGAUUGCAGUCUCCAUUUUAUCCCCAGUCAAAACCCAAAUCUUAAUUCCUGCUUGAGUAAGCUUGUCAAUGCAAUCAGGAACCUUGAAAAGAAAUACAAGAGCCUUCGUUAACGGUCUCAUUCCAAUGACUAAUCGUCAUAAGUAUAGAAUGUUUUUUUAUUCUAACUCACCCCAUUUUGGAGCUUGUCCUCUACAGCAGUGGCACCAAGAAGGAUUAGGUUCUUUUCGAUAUUAUCAGAUACUUCCUCAAUCAGUGUUUCCCAAUUGGAACUAACUAAAUUUUUGGCCUUGGAGAAUUUGUUAUCGAACUCUUUGUAUUCUUGUGGGUCAAGUUCACGAUAGGCAAGUAUAAGGGUUCUUAAACCUUCAUCAGCAUAAUCAUGCACAUGCUCCAUGGUUUUCUCUUCAAACUCCCUCCCAUUCUUGGCAAGUCUUUCAAACAUGACACUGUGUGGAAAUAUCACUUCAGGUUUGUCAAUAGGUGAAACAAAAAGGUCAUAGGUAAGCAUUCAAAAUCAUUUCAGGUUACAUAGAUAUGUUUAUCACAAACCUGUCGGCACCUUUGCAGAGUAGUAAAGUUUUUCCUUCAUCGUCUUUUACUAUUACCGACAUUCUCUUCCUUGAGCUAUUGAAUUCUAAAACGUUGAGAAUCUUGUACAUCCUGCAAAUUGAAACUAGUUACUGAAAAUAUCUAUCAUUGAGAUGAAAGAAAAUAAAAAAACACAGUAGCUAUAAUACAGCCUUUUAGAAGUAUAAGCAUCAGUUAGCAUGUAUAAAGUGAAAACCUUAUGUCCUAAAAAGUAUAAUUAUGCAGGAAAUAAAUAAGGCUUGUUUUUUGACAGAAGGAAAUAAAUAAGACUUGGAAAACAAUUGAACCAUUUUUUUUUACAAAUUUAGAUCUUUAAAACAUCAUAAAAGUGUAAGCCAAAAGCACAAAAUUUACAAACUCGCCUAUUCUAUAAGCAACUAUAGUCUAGUACUUUUUAAUAAUAAGGCUUUUUAUUUUUUUUACAUAAGGAAAUAAAUAAGACUUGAAAACAAUUGAACCGUUGUUUUUUUAUAAAAUUGGAUCUUUAAAACAUCAUAAAAAUGUAAGCCAAAGCCACAAAAUUUACAAACUCACCUAUUCUAUAAGCAGCUAUAGUCUAGUACUUUUUAAUUGAAAAGUACUCGUUGUCAUUUUUAAUUGAAAAGUACAUAUUGUCAUUAGAUGAUAAGCUAUUGUAAAGUUACAUCUGCCCAUAUUAAAGAUACCCAUCCUAAAGCUUUGUGUGUCCGUGUACAGGGCACUGCUGCAAAUCGCGGAUUGUGAAAAAUAGAGAUUUGUUCAAAUUUUGUUACGCAACAAUACUAUAACGCCACUAUUUGACAAUAUUUUGUACUAAAUGGUGUAUCGUGGAACAAUAGUGAUUUGUUCAAAUUCUGCUAAAUUACAGCACAGCUAUUUAACAACACUGGUGCAGGGAAAAAUGUAGCAGCAGCAAUAAAUUUCAAAGCAAUUGAAAAAACCGACCUUUCAACUUUCUUUCCCGAAACUGGAUCUAACUCGAACGUCGAUAUACUAGUCUGAGCCCUUCUAUAGAAUUCAAAACCAAGUUCUCUUGCGGCAAUAACAAAUGCUGCUUCAUCCGGAGAUUCAGCCUCGUACGAGACAUUUCCUGAGUCUUUAUCUACUUCUGGUAUGGCUGUAUGACAGACUGCCAAGAGGCGAAAAAACUUCUGGAUAAUAUCUGCACGAGGCUCAUUAACCCAAUUUCCAUUCAUUAUUCUUUCAUCGGUGAAGUUAAAACCUUUUAUAGCUGCUUUUUUAUCAAGAGAACCCCUGACGUCAUCCGCUUCUGAUAUAUCACGCUCAUGAACGAACGGCAAACCUUUUCUUCUACUCAUGGUCUUCUCGACCUCGGUAACACCACGGCCAUACGCUACACCAGCAAUGGAACAUUUGAUGAAUUCCAUUGAGUUGCACGUCAAAGUUCCAGUUUUAUCAGAAAGUAUUGUGUCAACUUGGCCAAGCUCUUCAUUCAAGUUAGAAGUGCGAGCAUGGGCCGGUUUGUCUGCAUCUUUGUAGUACAUAUGGAUAUCUUGAUUGAUGAAACUGCUUUGAAGGACUUUCACAAUUUCUAUUGACACAUACAAAGAGAUGGGAAUAAAGAAGCCAUACAACAUUAAGGCUGUCAAACAAUGAAAUACAGCAGCGGAGGCCGAUCUUUUCGGAUCAAAGAAAAUCGUAGAAUGGUCAGGCCUUAAAUACCAUCUCUUAGCCAACCCGUUUCGAAAGUCAUCUUUAGUUAAGAAGCCAAAGAAAAUAGAUCCAACAGACGCCAUUAGAAACAAAAUACAAAACAAGAAGUAGAUGAUUCUAUCCAUCUUCUUCUCAACUCGGCUCCUCUUCGAAGGUGGAUCGGUAGAAUUCUGAAUGACCUUAGUGUCAUGACCAGUGAAGAUGACAGCUCCAAAAAUAUAGUCUGUAUUACGAAGUUUAGAGUCUCGCAGAAGAAGUUGCUGAGCGGAAAGGGCAUACUUUUGCUCUCCAAACUCCAUGCUCCCAACAAACGAGUACAAAUUUGCAUUCGGAUCUUCGCAUUUGACAGUAGCUUUAAAUUUUUUGAAGUUGAGAUCCUCAUGUAAGGAAGAAGUUACUUCUAAACCUUGUUUUAACUUCAAAUUUGUCUCCCCAUCCAAGUUCAUCGUCUCAACAUAGCAGACCGCAUCCUCGUAACUGGAUGAAAGCAAUACGAGGUCUGCCGGGAAGAACUCGUCUUUCUCUACCUUCACUAUAUUCCCUACCCUCAGAUUCUUCCAUGCAGUAUAUUCAAAAAUUCCAUCAAUUUUAUGAACUUUAACUCUUCUAUUGUUCACUUCAAUAUCCUGCAUGAGAAUUCCAUUCAAAAUUACACACCUACCUUGAAAUCAUAGCUUUCCAUAAAAUAAUUCUACAUGAAAGACUAAUUUAAGUAAUUAGAUUAGAAACACUACAUGAAAAAUAUUCUACAAACAUUAAAUCUAGAACUACCAAAAUUCAACUCCCCCAGCAACAAAAAAAAAAAAAACCAUAGACACCAUUUUGGAUAGAGGGAUUAUUUUAUCAUAUGCAGGCACACUUAGAAAAUAUAACUCAUGUGUUACUAACCAUUGAUUAAAAAUAACAAUUUACAUUUUCAUAUAAUGCAACCAAAUCACUGGCAUUUUACCCUACAAAGUGAUGCUAAUUUAGCAGAUUAAAACAUUUUACCACAAACUGGAAUCAUUUGAACAAACAACUAAGUAAUUAAACUUCAUCCUUUCCAAACAAAACCAAGAAACUAAACAGAAAAGCAACAAUAUUCCAUAAGCUGCUAGCCACACUUUAUCCUUUUGGUAAAGUACUUCAUGGAUGGCCUUGUAAAAAGACCACAAAUUUUAUAAUUAUAAUAUAAUAACUGAUAUUAUUAAAUACUUCAUCUUCCUUUAUGUUUUAUAUACACUCUAAGUUAAAACAUAAUUUAAAUGUAUGCAAAAUAGUGUGAUUCAUAGGAAUCUACACAGUUGUGCUGCAGGGUAGAAAAAAGGGCAAAAAGGUUCCAAAAAAAUAAAAAUAUAUAACUAUAUAAAAUUAAAUCCACAACAGAAAGUGUUGGUAGUUAGAAUAUCGUACCUGCUUUUUCCUACGCCAAUCUUCAAUACCUUCUUUGACAAUAGUAGCUCCAAUAACAACAACAAGAGGAAGAAUAGCACUACCAGCACUAUAAGGAGCAAGUUUUGUGAAAGCCAAAACACCAGUAACCAAAAAAUAGAAAUUAGCAACUCUCCUAAACUGUUCAAAAAGUGAUUUUGGAAGGAAAGUAGCAGCAGUAUAUUUUGUAGAUCUCACACAAUUAUCUGCAUACUCAUAAUAGUUCCUACUACUCCCAAUUUCCUCAACACUACUAUCUGUUUCAUUGCAUAACACCACUCUUGAAUAGCCUUUACCACCAAUCUGUGCAUGAUCUCCAUCAACUGAACUUGCUUUACAACAUGUGAAUGAAUAGAUCUUGCUUAAAUGUAGCUUCCUAUUUCUCUCACCCCUCAUUCCUUUUUAUUAAUCAACUGAAAUUCAAAUUCAAAGUAAAAAUGAAAAUGAAAAUAAAAUAAAAUACCCUUUUAGAUGAAAUAAUUGAUUUCCAAUUGUCAAUGGCAAACUAGAAGUAAAAAUUGUAACUUUCUAUAACCCCAAUUUCCAAAGCAAGGUGACUGACAAAAAAGACUUAAUAACAAGUUUAGUAUGAAGUGCAAAAAAUAGUCCUGAAAGUUAUGAGAUUCUUAAAAAGUUUUCAACAACUACACAAUAACACAAACACCUCAUAAACAAAACGUCAUAAACUCAACCAAUAGCACAAAUACACAUCAAAGAAAAUACAAAAAAUCAUUAAAAAUAAAUAAAUAAAGAUGCUAAACCCCAGAAAGGUUCCAACCAGAAAAGGCUAAAAAAAUCUAUAAUUUAAUAAACAAUGAAUGAAUAACAAAGAAACUGAAAAAUUUAAGGAAAAAAAAAAGUGAUUAAGCGAUACACACAACUCAGAACCGAAUUAAGCCUGCAAUCACUUACUACACUGUAGUAGUGGAUAACAGUUGUAAAAAAAUUCCCAGAAAAAGACACAAACCUAUGAACCUAAAACAGAAGAAAAGUGUCGGCAACAGAAAGUUCUAGAAGGAAUAUAAAAUCUGAAGAUUUGAAAAACAGUACUGACUCAAAAGGAGGAAGAAGAUGAAUUUGACUAUAAUUAGAUCUCACAUUUUCAUUUCAGAAAAAGACAACCAUUUCACUUUCACGACAUUGCAAAUUUAAAUUGAGCUCUAUUUUUUUUCCCCAAAGAAAGCGAAAAAUCCACUUUUCUUUUGCAAGGGAAAAUAAAGUGGCAAAAUGCUAACACAGAUUUCCAAAAAAAUAAAUAAAAACAAAGUUGUUUACUUUUUCUUUUCUCUUUAUUUUCGCGGGAAAAAAGGUGUGAAUGAAGCUCGUUGUCAAUGGUGGUGACUGAAAAAGUGUCACUUUCAAUUUCAAUUUUUCCUUUUUUUUUAUUUUCUCGUUAUAUCCUUUUACAACGAUAAUCGACACAAUUGAUUUGUACAGUUAAUUUAUCAUCACAAUUACAAUUAUAUGGUCAAAUAAUAAAAUCAACAAUUUUUAUUAAUUAUUAAUCAGAGAUAAAACAGGUGUAUCCUAACAAUGCUACAAACUUUUUCUCAAAAUAAAUUAAAAUAAAAAAUUAGACAUUAACUUACCUUGUUCAAUUGAACAGUUCAAUCACAGAAUCGCCGUGGUUUUUUAACUACAACAGAGUUGCAGAUUUUUUUUAUUAUAUUAUUAUGAAUAUUGAAGGAAGUUUUUGUUUAGGUUUUUAAUUUUAUUUUUUAUUUGUACUACUAGUAGUAAGUAGUUGAGUGUGUUUGAUUUUGAUAAACAUGAGAAUGCGCCGUCAUUUAUUUGUAUUCUUAACAUGCUCAUGUUGUUUGUUGACUAUUCAAUUCAUUUAUGUUUUGAACCAAAACAUGUUUUCUUUGUUUCUCAUUUAUUGUUACUUUUUCACCCUCCUCUUUUGGUGCUUCCUAGUUAUUUGCUAAAAAUUCACCUAUUUUUUCUCAACUUUUUUCUUUUUUCUAUUUUCGGUAUAUAUUUAUAUAACCACUAACUAACAUUGACCGUUUUACAAAAAAAAAAUGAUUAUUAUAAAAAAUGUUACCCCACAAAUAAAUGCUUAUUAAAACAAUUAGAAGCAAUUGAUCUUUGAGUAAUUAAUUUCACCAAAUCAUUUUAAAUUUGUGAAAAUUAUUUCUUUGUUGAUGUCAUAUUUUGGAAUGCAAUAAUUUCGGUCAAUUCAAAUCAAUUUGACCUAUUAGCUAUAAAUUGUUUGUACUUUUUUUUCUAGAUGGACUUCAAUGUCGUUGUAUUUUCCUUCUCCUUUUCUCUUGUGCUUAAGAAAACCAACUGGCCAAAAUUUAUGAUUUGGGUGUUCAUAUUGAUUGGUUCUUGCAUAUGACUUGUAGUUUCUUCCUCCUUUUUCUCAAGUAGUAUUGACUAUUGAGUAUUGCAUACAAAAGAUUAUUGCACCUUCAUUAUAUUUUGUUUGUAUUCUCUUUGAUUUCAAUUUUUUAAUGGCUAAUGCAUUUUAGUAGGUACAUAAAGUGUUAGUUCAGUAAUAACUUAUAAGAAGGUUGUGAAAUUAUGUUAGUACACUUUAAAUAAUAAUAAUAAUAAUAAUAAUAAUAAUAAUAAUAAUAAUAAUAAUAAUAAUAAUUUCUCAUUUUCAAUUUUUUAAGAGUUAAUAUAUAUUAGUAUUAUGUUGUGGAUGAAUACAAAAUCAGCAACAUCUAUUCUACUUUUUAACUACUCCAUCCACAGUGAAUCAAAUUUAUAUCUUUUGGUUUUAUUAUUUGUAGCUCUAUUUAAUCUUUCAAUCCGGUUUUAUUAUUUGUAGCUCUAUUUAUUCUUUCAAUCCAUUGACUAGCAAUAUUUUUUUACUAAAAAAAAUUAUAUUCAUUCUAAUUAAUAGCAUACAUCAAUAAAAAAAAAAAACAACACAAAUUCAACAUUAUUAAAACUAAAUAAAUAAUGAAUCAGUGAAAAAAAAAACUCAUGUCUCUUGAUCAAACAUGUAAAUAUAUAAUUGAACACAACUUCAAUCUCUAACUAGGCUCACAAUCUAGACAACCAAAAGAAUGAAAGUGUUACAAUUUUUCUCCUAAACAAAAUUUUGUCCUCAAAAUUUCUGUAUUGAUAUAAAGUAAAAAUUAACGUGUGUAUAAAGCUCUCUCAUUUUACUCUUUAGCUCCCUAAUACUAGUUAGUACUUUUCACAAUUGCUUCACUCUAGAUUUCCUUUACCAAUAGAAUAUUUUUUCAUCUAUAAGCUUUGAUAUUUGAUUCCCACCUUGGCUAACUUCCUUUACUCUUUGGGUGGCUUCUAAGAUGAUGGCUAAAAUAAAUCCCUCAUUUGUGGAGCAGAGUGAAAUUAUGAUGCAGAUAUUUAAUAAUUUUAUUAUAAAAAUUAUAUUACGUGAUUCAAACUAUUUGAAAUUCUACUUGAUUAUGGUUUAUGAAUUAUGCAUAUCAAAUAACAUAUCACAGUGGUAUUGGCUCAUAAGUUAUGCAUAUUAAAUAUCAUAGUUUUCAUGUAUAUUAUAAUAGUAACAAGAAAUAUUCAAUAUAUUGACAGUAGAAUGUCUAUAAAUAAAUUAUUGGUCCUUAAUAUAAAAUAGUGAGUGAGAGAUUAAAAACUUGAAAAAAUCAAUAAUAUAAAAAAUUAAAACUCUUCCUCUUUAUAAUAAUGGCUAAAAGUAAUUAUUUUAAGAGUAUAAUUUAUUCUGUAUUAUGAAAUUAACAUUUCUGGUUUUUUUGUUUUUGUUGAGAUGUUAUAGUAAAUUUUUUACAAAAUAUUCCUAAAAUUAAUCUUGAUGUUAUAUUGUCACAUUUGGAGAGUUGUGAAACAGGCAUACAUGUAAAAGCACAGUGGACCUCUCAUUAGUUCACUUUUUUUAGAACUGGAUACUCUUGAGAGAAUAAUUGACAAUUGAGAAUAUAAUAAAAAAGAGGAAUCCUUAGUAUCAUUAAUAGUAUAUAUUUACGUAAGAUUCUUGGCUUAUCCUUUUGGCCUUUUGUCAUGUUUACCACACAAGACAGGAAAGUCAUCGCAACUACAAUAUUAAUUAACUUUUAUUUUUUAUUUUUUUAUCUUUGGAUUUUUGUUUGAUUUUACGAUAAUAAAAAUUAAUUUUGUCUAUAUAAGGUUCUUUUUUUGUCAGUUAAAAUUGAUUUUUAAAAUAUAAAAUUAAUUUUAUUAUUUGAAUAUUAUUGAGUAAAAUUGAUUACUUAAAAAAAAUUCUGAAAUUCGUUCUAACUUAAGUUAAAAUUUAUAGUUGAUAAAUUCAAACAUAAUUUUUGCAUUUAAAUUUAUAAUUCAAUACACUUUUAUAAGAAUAUAUUUAAUUAUAAAUUAUUUUACUUUCAAUUCACUUUAAAAUAAAAUCAAAUUGUUACCGUAAAACCUAGCUAAUAGACAAAUAUAAAAAGUGAAUUGUACCAUACUGCAAAAUCAAUUCAACUUAUUAACAGAAAAAAAAUGUCAAUAAUUAUUCCAAUUAUGAUAUCUUUAAAAAUAAAACCAUGCAAACUUUAGAUAUUUAGAUUAAGAUAUUUAAUUUAACAACGUGACAACCAAAAGCUUAUAAGGUAGGAGAGUUGUUCAACAAACCAACGUAAAUCGGAUUUUGAUCCAUUAUUACCAAAUUAAUUUGCAUCACCACGAUGUGAGACAAUUGCUCCAUGUUUAGAACAUAUAUGUCAUUGUACAUGUAGUGGUUUGAAUAUAUAAUUAGGAUGAUUAGAUAAGAUAAUAAGAUAAUCUGUAUUAGGUCUUUAAUAUUCAGAUUAAUUAAAUUAUUUAAUUAACGAAGAAGCUUUUACUUUUACUUUUCUCCUUAUUAAUAAAAAAAUUUUGUCUACGUAAACUUAUCAAUUAUUUAAGACACGUAUUGUGGAAUAAUCAUAUCAAAUAAUGUGAUAAAUUUAAUUUGAUAAUCCAAAAAUAUCUGCCACUAGUCGUCUUUGAAUCUUGACUUGUUAAUAAAAAAUCUAAUUGAGAUGAAACUAUCCGCUACGUGUAUCUCAUAUUAUAGUCGCUGUAAAAAGUGAUUAAUCUUUGCGUGUAAUUCUAUCACACAAUUAAAUAUUUAUUACAAAAACCCGAAUUUGAAUUAUGCUAUUGAUAUAAAGGUUUGUUGGAGAUAAUAUAUAAUCAAAAGAGGAAUUCUUAUAGUGAGUAAACUAAUUCUAUAAACUAAAUAUUAUUGUCAACAUGAAUUUUGCGAAACUAUACUUUCCAACUUGUAUGUCAUCGCACGUUUGGUAGCCUUUUAGAUGCAAUUAGUUUUAUUUUAAAAUAAUGGAUCAAAACUAAAUAUAUGCAUUACCAUAAUAAAUUUGCCUAUCUGAUCAGUCCAUUACAAAAUAGUUAAUUGCGUGCGAUUUUUAUUGUUCCUCAAUCUCAAUUCAACACAAUGUAUUUAUUUUGAAUAUAAUAAUUUUAAAUUCAAACAAACAAAACUAUUAUAAUGUAUUACAUUCUUUGUACUUUCAAACAAUAGAAUGAAAAUUUUAUUCUACAAUUACGACAUAAAAUAUCUAAACAAUAAAAUAAAAUAUUUGUUUUAUUUUGUUCCGUUCUAUUUCAUUUUUUUCCUCUUAUUUUUAAAUAUCUCAGUCUUAAACUCCACAAAAGAGAUUAAAUAGGUUACACACCUUCUUCAAAAACUACAUUAAAAAAUAAAAUAAAAAAUAAAUGGAUGACUAUUUAGUUAUACUUCAGUUGCUUCUUUUUAUUGUCCAAGGGAGUCCAAGGGAGCCUAAUAUUCGAAAUGAGCUAAACAAGGAUUCAUAAGAGACUUAGACACCACAUUUCAACUCAAAACCUUAAGGCAAUAGGUUUAUGGGUCAUUGUACUUAUAUAUCCAAUAUAGCCUCCAUUCCUGGUCAAUGUGGGACGCCUCCAUUCCUAGUCAAUGUAAGACUAACCACUCAUAAUUAAAUUCCAACAUACUAACCACUCAUAAUUGAAUUCCAACAUAUAUUGAUCUCUAAAGUUAAAAAAUUUCACCCAAGAGCCAUGUUUUUUUUUUUUUUUUUUUUUUUUUUUUUUUUUUUUUUUUUUUUUUUUUUUUUUUUUUUUUUUUUUUUUUUUUUUUUUUUUUUUUUUUUUUUUUUUUUCUAUUGGUGAAGUUAGUUAACAAAAGCGGUACUAAUGUUUACUAUUAAAUUAGCACUUAUAGGAAAGAUAACACAUAAGUUGUAUGAUAAAAUGCUUCAACCAUUCCACUACCUAGUUUAGUCUUAAGACGGAUUCGAUGUUAUUUUUUGUACCAUUAUGCAUUAUAAUUUGAUAUUAGGUACUAUGUUCAGUUUGAUUGUUAAGUGAGUAUGAAGUUCUAUGCAUUUCCAUUUUUUUUAACUCUUGUAUUUUUUAAUAUUAUUCAAUUAAUAUUUAAUAUUAUUCAAUUAUUGAUUUUCACACUUGUUGACCAGCUACUGGGCUAUUACAGUAUGAUACAAGAAAAAAAAUGUUAAUUUGCUGCACUAAGAUUCAAAUUUUGCUCAAGAUGAUAGGAAAUUUAAUUUUGAAAUCUUACAGUUUCCUCUGUUUUUUUUUUCAAAACAACAUAGCUUGAUUGUGGAAUAGAAAAAGCAGUUGGUUGCUUGGUAAAUGAUAGUGAACUUAGUAAUAUUUUUUUUAUCAAGAUUAGUUAUGUCAUAAUACUUCGAUUUUAUGAAAAAAGGGAAGGUUAAUUGAAUGAAUAGUGAUAAUGUAAAUGUAGACUGUUGUUGAUAGUGUGAGAAUGAUUGUUGUUUGAUUUGAAUCCUUAAUUGUGUGUCUUAAUUUCGGUCAUAUAACCAAAUCAUAUUGUUUGUGUUUUUUAUCUAAAUUCAGUUAGGAAUAUGAUAUUGAGUUUUUAAAUGUUAAGAUAACAUGUUAUUUGAGUUUUUAUAUUUUUAAGUUGAGGAUAGUCUAAUCUUUUUAUGUUUUACGAUAUUUUUUUUUUAUAAUUUUUAAAUUCAUAAAAUUUAAUAUUCUAUUUUAAUCAUCUUUUAUUUUUUGUUUUAUGCGUGAUUACCUAUAUUAUAAACAAAUAUUUUAUAAGAUUUUAAAUAUAAGUAAAAGUGGCCACUAUAAAAUGCAUCAACCUUGUGUUUGGUUCCAAUUACUAUAUUAUACAUUCGAUGAAUUCAAUCAUACUUUUAAUUUGAAAAUAAUUUACCAUUUAUUGAAAGUAAAUGCUCUAUUAAGAUUUUUUUGGUCUGUUUUUCAAUAGGGUUAUAUGUGUCUCCAAGACCAUUCAAGAAAACAUGACAUAUAUGACUCUGUGCCUUUUGACCGUCUUGAUUAGAUCAUAGUCACAUUUGAUUCUACUUGAUUUAAUGCAUUUCUUUUAGCAAAAUUGAAACGUCUCUUUUAGCUUAUUUUAUCGUAUGCAUUGAAUUUUUUUAAACAAGUCUAAAUUCCUGAUAUGAUAUCUUUUGAGAAUCUUUCUUUGAGGUCAUCCAAAGGACUUUACAAUUCUUUCAUAGUAUUAGAGAGUAUUUUUAUAUUUUAAGUGAUAGGAUAAAAUAAUGUGUAUAGUAUAAAAUAUUCAUAUUAAUUAAAGUGGUUGAAAUUAGUAGUAGUAGAUAGACUAUUUAAUUAAAGACUUAAAUUUAUGGUUGGCUCAUAAUAUUGUGAUUUUUAAAUUUUAGUCACUGUUUAUUUUAUUUUAUUUCGGUUGAUUUUGGUUCCUUUACAUUUUGAUGACACAUAACUCAAUGCCAACAUUAAUUUCUAUUAAAAUGCAAAACAAGGAGAUUUAUGAUUUGAAGUAAUAAGAAAUUUGCUUAUUUAAUUGUCACCCUAAAUAAUAUUAGUUAUUAAUAUUAGUCUUUGAACAAAAAAUUAAAACCUAAUUAGGGAUUUGUUCCCUCUCAUAUGUCAUUUAUUUAUUUGUAUUUGUAUUUAUUUUAUUUUUUAGGGUUAAAGUCAUGUGGACAAUAUUGGUAAGAUGUCAAUGUCACAUCAAUAAAUUGAGUUAUCUCAGUGUAAUUUUAGAAAAAAUUAAGAGGAAGACUCUCAAAUUAAAAAGAAAAAAAAAAGGACUAAAAUCACUAAAAAAAAAAAAAGAAGAGAUUUUUUUUACAAGAAAAAAGAUAAGAUUAAAAAUUGCAAGAUCUCAAUAUUUUGACCGAUAUAAAAGUGAAUUUAAACCUCAAUUUAAUGAGAGUAUGAGAGUGAUGAAAAGUUGAUAAAUGUUAUUUUAAUAUUAUAAAUUAAAGAAUAAUUUUAAACAAAUAAAUAUUAUAAAUAUGACUUAUAAUGAGGUGGAAGUAGUCAUUAAUGAAACCACAAUGGGAAAAGUCAUGACCAUGAUUUAGAAUAGGAAUCUCUUCAUUCACGAACAACUUAUUACUUGAGUUGAAUGGCUUUUUUUUUUUAAAUAGUUCAUAUUAAUAGUUAAUUAUUAAUUUUGCUAGAGGUGGAAUAGAAUUCAUUAUCUCAUUGCCACUUCAAUUUCUCUAAACUAUAACAAGAACAAUUCUUAGAUUUUUUGCGUGAUCUAGAUAGUAUGGAUUGAGAGAAUUUGAGAUUAAUUUGCGACAUUUCCCUAUUGAAAGUAGUUUGUGUUGCUUGAACAUGUUUUAUCCAUGAUUGAACUAUUAAGGAACAAUGAAGCUAUAGUUUGAGUAAUCAAAGGAAGGAGAUGAAAUAAUGCAGGAAAUGGAGUAGAGUUGUACCACGAGCAAGAAAAUUCCACUUUAAUACCAAGUAGUAAAAAAUAUAUAGUAAACUCUUAUUGACAUAAAGAGGAAAAAAUCACAAUAAAAAUUUUCUCUAAUUUUUUUUUAACUUUUAACAAAUACAAUCAAGACUUGUAUUUUGAGGAAGUGAAACAAAUCUAAUUGUUUAGUAAGAGAAUGCUGUUACCACCGCGGUGACACUUCUAAUCCAAUUGAACUUGUAAUUGUUUAGGAUUUUUCAUUCACUUGUUUUGAGGCACGAAUAUAUUUGAUUUUGCUUUACUAAUCUAUAAAACAAAAUUUAAAUAAACCAUUAGAAUAAUUUUAAAUAACUUUUUCAAUUGAAAAGACAAUUUAAUAAUAAAAAACACACCUCCAAUUGAACAAUUUUGUAAUUGUUCAGAAUUUCUCAUCCACUUGUUUUGAGCCGCAAGUAUAUUUGAUUUUGUUUCACUAAUCUACCAAACAAAAUUUAAAUAAACCAUUAGAAUAAUUUCAAAUAAUUUUUUUUAUUGAAAAGGCAAUUUAAUAAUAAAAACACACCUAAAUCAGAAAAACAGUCUCUUGCCACCAUGCUCCUGGUACAACAAUUUCAUGUCAAUUAUCAUCAAUUAUACACAAUGAACACAACUGUUAAACCAACAACGAUUUCAUGUCAAUUAUCACCAAUUAUACAUACAUACAUAUAUUACCCAAUAUUUUGGAAAUAUCUCACAAUCCCCCACCAUUUUCAAAAUAUACUUAGUACCAUAAUUUUAAAAAUAUCAUGGUUUCAGAUAAUGGUAUCUUACGAUUUGAACCACUACUUAGUAAGCUAUGGGUUCCACUUAUCCUGAAUAGAUUGGUAGACAAGUUUUGAACCAGUUAUUCAUUAGAACAAGUGUGCACAACUUACACAUAAAAUCUCAAUACUAUCGAAACAAUUAUAAAGAUGACACAUUUGUUAAGGUCUUGUGUCAUGUACCCUUUUCAUGAGAAUUUAAGAGUCAAACCCUUUAACUCUCUGAAGCGGCCUCACUUCAUCCUCACAUAGAUAGACUAUAUCAAAAAUACACCCAUAUAUGUAUUUCAACAAAUUUAUGCUAUAUGUCUAUUAAGAGUAAAACUCAACCUUCCAACUUUAUACUUAUGGUCCAAGUACUUUCAGCCUUUGGGAUGUAUCUAUAUUUAAGUACUUGCAAUCAUUCUAAUAGUGUACUUUUAUCAUUGAACUCAAGACUUGAUGUUACUCAAGUGUGAGUCGAUUUUCCACCAUUGAUGAUUAAUUAGAUAUGGGCUUGAGUCUCAUCCUCAAUGAUGUUUUCAACACCAUGUCCCUUGUCAGACCUUUUGUCAAACGAUCUGCAAGAUUAUUUUCAGUUCUUACAAACACAAUGGAUAUUACUCCAUUUAUAAUUAAAUCAUUUACAUAGCUAUGUCUUAGACCAAUAUAUCUAGAUUUUCCAUUAUAUACUUGGCUAUAUGCUUUGGACAGUGUGAAUUGACUAUCGCAAUGUAUGUAUACUAGUGUCAUUGGCUUUGGCCAAAUUGGUAUCUCAUAUAAUAAAUUUCUUAAUCAUUCUGCCUCUUUACGACCUGCAGCUAGGGCAAUGAACUCUGCAGCCAUGGUGGAGUCAUCAAUGCAAGUUUGUUUCUUUGAUCCCCAAUAAACUGCACCUCCACCAAGGUUGAAGAUGCAUCCACUUGUGGAAGCAUGAUCCUCAACAUAAGUUACCCAACUGGCAUCUGUAUAUCCUUCCAAAACUGAAGGAUAUCCACUAUAGAUUAAACUAUAGUUAAUUGUUCCUUUUAAAUAUUUUAAUACUCUAUUAACAACCUGCCAAUGUUCUUUACUUGGAUUGCUAGUAUACCGACUUAAUCUGCCUACAACAUAUGCUAUGUCAGGUCUGGUACAGGUCAUGGCAUACAUCAAGCAUCCGAUUACCUUUGAAUAAUCUAGUUGUGCCACAAGGCAUCCUUUGUGGUUGUAAACUAACAUUUUGAUCAAAUGGAGUAUAAACAGGUUUGCAAUUAAAUUGAUCAAUUUUUUUUAGCACUUUCUCAAUAUAAUGAGAUUGAGAUAAACCAAUAUUUACUCCAUCUCUAAUGAUUUUAAUUCCUAAAAUUACAUCUGCUUCACCUAAAUCUUUCAUAUCAAAAUUUUUUGAUAAGAAAGUUUUAGUUUUUUCUACCUCAUCUAAAUUGGUGCCAAAGAUUAACAUAUCAUCCACAUAUAAAAAAAAUCAUAACACCAUUUCCAUCAUGAAAUUUACUAUAAAUACACUUGUCAGAUUCAUUUAUUUUGUUUCCAUUAGAAAGCAAAACUUUAUCAAACUUUUGGUGCCAUUGUUUGGGUGCUUGUUUUAACCGAUAUAAGGAUUUAGUCAAUUUAUACACUUUAUGUUCUUGCCCUUUGAUAACGAAUCCUUCAGGUUGUUUCAUAUACACCUCUUCAUCUAACUCUCCGUUUAGGAAAGCAGUUUUAACAUUCAUUUGAUGGAUUACAAACUUAUUGAUAGAAGCUAGUGCCAAAAGCACUCUUAUGGAUGCAAUUCUUGCAACAAGUGCAUAAGUAUCAAAGUAGUCGAUACCUUCUUUUUGUGUAAAUCCUAUGGCAACAAGUCUAGUUUUGAAUUUAUCAAUGGUACCAUCAACUUUCAUUUUCUUCUUAAAAAUCCAUUUACAAACCUAUUGGUUUGGAUCUAGGAUGGAGGUCUACUAAUUUCCAAGUUUUAUUCCCCAUAAUCAAGUCCAUUUCCUCUUGGAUGGCUUCUUUCCAAAAGGAAGAGUCUUGAGACUUUAUUGCCUCUUCAUAUGUGUCUGUGUCACUCUCUAAAUUGUAGCAAAUUGGUCCAUAACUGUUAAUGAAAUUAUUUGUACCUUCUACAAGAAACAUAAAGAAGUCUAGGCCAUAAUCUUUCUCUUUUCUGGCUCUUUUACUUCUUCUGGGUUCUGAACAUGACAAAGUAUCAUUAUUAGAUGCAUUAUUUUUCUAGACUUUGUACACUAGAACAUACAGUUUCCUUGGGAUGUGGAAUUGAGUUAAAUCUAUUUUCUUAAAAAAUUGCAUCUCUUGACUCAAUCACUGUGUUAAUAGGAUAUGAGUCAUUAGAUUCAACAACCUUGAAUCUAUAGGCCUUGCUAUUUUCAGCAUAGCCCAGAAAUACACUUUCAAUUCAUCUUUCUCCCAAUUUCUUUCUUUUUGGUUCAGGAACCUUAACAAUUGCUUUACAACCCCAAACUUUUAUAUAGUUAAGAUUUGGUUUUCAUUUCUUCUAGAGUUCAUAUGGGGUUAUCUUGCUCCUUUUAUUGGAAACUCUAUUUAGCAAAUAAGAUUGAAUUUUCUUUUCUUCCAGAGUUCACCCCAAUAACCUUUAGAUAAACCAGAAUAGGAUAACAUGUCAUUCACCAUUUCUUCUAAUACCCUAUUUUUCCUUUCUGCAAUUUCAUUUUGUUGUGGGGAAUAUGGUGCAGCUGUUUGAUGCACAAUACUAGUGGACUCAAAAUACCCAGGAUGAUAGAACUCUUCUCCCCUAUCACUUCUAAAACACUUAAUAAAAGUUUCAUGUUGAAGUUCUACUUGUGCUUUAAAUAUUUUAAAUUUGCCUAAAACUUCAUUCUUAGAGUGCAUUAAAUAAACAUAACAAAAUCUAGAGUAAUCAUCAAUAAAAGUGACAAAAUACUUUUUACCACCAAUUGUAGGCCAACCAUGUAAAUCGCAUAUAUCAGAGUGAAUUAAAUCUAAUACCUUAUAAUUUCUUUCAACAGUUUUAAAAGGGUGUCUUGUGAUUUUAGUUAGCAUGCAAGUAGUACAUGAAUUUGAAUUUUUAUCAAAAUUCAGAAUUAAAUUUGAUUUCAUCAUAUCAUUCAAUUUUCUAAAGUUAAUAUGUCCUAGUCGCAUAUGCCAUAAAUCACAAGACUCAACAAUAUAAGCAUAAAUCAUAUUAUUAUUAUAGUUACUAACAACAUUACAUUUGAACAUAUUCUCACAAAUGUAACCCUUCCCUACAAACAUACCACCUUUAGAGAGAAUAAACUUAUCUCCCUCAAAUAUACAUUUGAAACCAAACUUGUUAGGUAAAUGUACAGAAGUCAAGUUCUUCCUAACAUUAGCACUACAAGAAAAAAAAAAACGUUUUGCGGCGGUUAAAAAGGGGAUUUGCAGCGGUUGAAACCGCUGCCGUUUGAUGUUUGCGACGGUUCUGUAACUGUCGCAGAUUCGUGCGUCGCGAGACCAGUUUGCGACGGUUCACAAAACCGUCGUUCGAACCGUCGGCAAAAUUUGUGACGGUUCCUAACCGCCUCUAAAUACAGUUUGCGACAGUUAGAACCGUCGCUAAAAGACACUCAAAUUUAUUUAUUUCUGAACAAUAACGACAAUUAUCAACCGUCGCUAUAUUUAUUUUGAGGCAGUUUAAACCGUCGCAAACCUAAUAAUUUAAAAUUAAAAAAAUAUGAUACAAUUUUUUUUCUAUUUUUAAUCAAUUAAAAUAAGAAAUAUUUAUAAAUACCAUCCACAUAAUUUAAAUACAUAAUUAAUAACUAUUCCAAAAUAUAUAAUUUUUUCAAAAGAAAUAACACCAAUUCAUACAUUGAAGUUAACUAAAACAAUAACUAAAUUAGUUUAAAUAUUCAAAACAUUAGUGGAGUAGCUAAAAAUACAAAACAACUCCAUCAAACUUAGAAGUUCAUCCAAAUAUCUAAUUAGUCCCUAAUGAUGUUCCACGAUCAUCAGGUUGGUGGCUGGACUAAGAUGAACGUCUACCAUCUAUUGGCAAUUCUAUGUCCAUUGGCUGAAGAAAAAAAAAGUAUAUAUUAACCUCAACGAAUAUUGAUAAAUAUUGUCAAAACUAAUUAACUAAAUUUCUCUUAUAGCUAUAAGAAAUCUUUACACAAUUGAUAUUUUUAAUCAAAGAGAAACAGUUCUCACAAGAUUUUUAAAUAGGUUUGCUAUGAAAAUAAUUUUACCUGUUUGUCUCUAGAAUUUUGCAUUUGCAUCAAGAAAGCAAUUUGCUCCUUCAACAUAUCAACUUCAGAAUCCCUUUUCUUAAGCCUAUCAAUUUCAGCUUGCAUUUUCUCCAUCUUUUCAUUAGCUUCAGAGGAAGACAUUGAUCUUACAGAGUGAGAAGUAGAUGUAGUAAUUUGUGACGGUGUUAUUUCAAGUCCCAUACAACGAACAUAUCCAAGAUGUUCUUUUCCAAACACAUUAACAAAUGCUUCAUUUGGAUAAAGAGUCUUCCCAAUUUCAGCUUGCAAUUGUUCCUGCGCAAACAGAUAAAGCAAACUAAAUUCCUCUUUGUAACAGAAAUGUCUAACUUUGCAACUCACUAUUAAAAUUAUGCAAUUAUACAAUUAUUUUGAGACAAAGAAGUAGCAUUUUAUUUAGUCUCACUAAUUAACAUUAAAGGAACAAAACAUAACAACGUCAUACUCUUAGAAAAUAUUACCCGAUAAACAUUCAAAAUAUAGAACUAGACCAGGUAUAUAGUACUAGACAAACAAUAACAAAUUUUAACGUUAAAAAAAUAAAGAACUAAUUAACAUUAAAAAAAAUAAUUUACGAAGUUUAAAUUUUGAUAAAAUAUAAAGGAAGAAAACUGUAUUUCAACCUAUGUGUUUUUUGUACAUAAGAAAUUAAGAAAUCAAAAUAUAGUUUGACCAAGAAAAAAAUAUUAUCAUGUGACUAAAACAAAAAGAAUAUCAUGUAACAACUCAUAACACUUAAUGAUGAUCAGCUAGUAACACUUAAUGAUGAUCAGCUAAAAUUUAAUUAGUUCAAUUCCUUAUCUUCAUACAUUCUUUGCAUUGCUCUUAAUAAAUUAUAUCUCUUCUUCUCGCAUCAUGCUGUACUGCAACUUCAUCAAAAAAUUACCCACAAGACUUCUACAUGUAGUUAGUUAUGGCAAAAUAAAUUAGUUAUUACUUCAAUUCAAAUUUGAGGAAAAAUUCUUGCAAAACAAGUAAUAGAACUGAGAUAAAAAUGAAAACAAACGAAAUAAAACAAAAUACUUUACCAAAAGUAACCAAUUCAAAGUAAUCAUAAUUCUAAGAUUUUAUUAUAAUUCAUUUCAAAACCAAAUGUAAUUUCUAGUCCAAAUUUUAAAGACAGGAAAAAUGAUUACUCCAACCAAUAUAAUGUGCAAAAAGAAGUGAAAAAGAAUUGUGUAAUGUUAUUCAAAGAUAAAAUUUGCCACAAAUAAAACACUCACAUUUUAUUAAAAACAGAAACGUGAACCCCACUAUAUUUGGUACGAGUAAUAGAACUGAGAUAAAAAUGAAAACAAACGAAAUAAAACAAAAUACUUUACCAAAAGUAACCAAUUCAAAGUAAUCAUAAUUCUAAGAUUUUAUUAUAAUUCAUUUCAAAACCAAAUGUAAUUUCUAGUCCAAAGUUUAAAGACAGAAAAAAUGAUUACUCCAACCAAUAUAAUGUGCAAAAAAAAGUGAAAAAGAAUUGUGUAAUGUUAUUCAAAGAUAAAAUUUGCCACAAAUAAAACACUCACAUUUUAUUAAAAACAGAAACGUGAACCCCACUAUAUUUGGUACGGUAUUUGUUUUUGUGUUCUAUUUUAUGUCAAAUUUUGUGUUCUAAUAAUAUUACUCAUUUGCUAAUUAGUUUUUGUAUCUUUUAGCAUGUAUUGAAUGGACACGAGCAGUUUAAAGUAAUAUUCUUGUUAACUAAACCUGUAAACACCCUAUUACAUAACCAUUUAGCUAAAUCAGAUGAAAAGAUGAAGAGAAAAACCAUAACCAGUUUUAUUUCACAUUUCUAGUUUCUCCGAUUAUAUCUCCAGGACACAGGUCCAACAUAAAUAUCAUUGACAUUGCCACUACUUUACAAGUUUUACAUUACUGGGGACCUUCAUUCAAACACAUACUGUUGUCUUCAAAGUUUCAAAGGCAACAAACAAUCUGGAAAUUAUUUUUAAAAGCAAACAAACCAAUCUCAAACAAACCAAUCAUUAACAUAUAUCAAACAAUCAAACCACGAGAACGUUAUAUCAAACAGACAGCGCAUACCUGGCCAAGCUUGAUUUCUCCUCUAUUUGGAUUGUAAAGCACAUGAAUGUUGCAAACCACAACUUUACGAGAAUCUGUCAAGCUGCAGAAUGCUGCAUUUAUGUUAUAUUGAGUAAACAAAGAUAUCUCUUCAAAAAAAUAUGAAUGAUAAUUUGAAAAAUUAAAAGAAAGCCCAUAAGGCUAUCAACACCUCAGUCAUUAAAAGAAAAGUUGCAAGCAUAACACAAGCAAGGCUCAAUUAAAAUUAUCCCCUGACCUUGUGCACCAAUCUAAAUCUUUAUGUCAGCACUCAGCAGCAUAAAAUAUACCCUUGUGAGUUGUGAACCUAAACAGUGUCCUCAUUCUCAUAAGAUUUAAGGAAACAACAAGAAGCUUUUCAUCCUCUAAUGAUGGAUGGAUACUCUUAAUGCUUACUGUAACUAGCUGGUACAAGAACUUACUGGGUUUGUACCCCAAUACUUUUUCUUUUCCCCUCAAAUUAUAUUAUCAGUUGUCUGAACACAUUUGAGUUAAACAUCACAAUAAGCCAACAUCACUCAACUACAAACCAAUCCAUAUAAAGACACUAGGUUUGGCUACUUCGUUGUUUGUUUUGCUUCUAAAUGAAACAAUGGCUAUUUCAUCCCUUUGUGCCCCUUUAUAGAAAUUUUUACUUUAUAUACAGCAAAGAAUUUUGUUGAAAACUUCAAGUUAGACCAUUAUGGACAGAGUACUCAUUUAGUUUUUUUAUUUAAUAAAAUUAUGUAAUAUAUCGUGUUGUACCAGUGCCCCAAUUUACAGAAAACAAUCUGUGAUGCUUUUCAUUCAUUAUGAUUAAUUUCAAAAUUAAGAUAACAUUUGCCGCACAAAACAAUUGGAACUAAACUGUUAAAUGGAACUAAAUGAUUACCUUAGCAAGAGUUGAUUUUGUUUCCAAGAUGAUAAAUCACCUUAUUUUACAGAGUAGAUUUCGUUUCUCCUCGAUUUUGUUUCCUUCAGAAGUUUUAGGGUUAACAGAUUUGGGGGUUUUCAGAAAUUUUAGGGUUGUGAAAGGAUGUGUGCGGGGCUAAGAAAGGAAUACACGAAAGAGAGAGCGAGGAAUGAACUUACAAAAUCUGGAAAAAUAAAAACACGUUUAUACCCUAAACGAUGAUGACAGUUGAUUAAAACCGCCCCAGGAACUGUCGCAAACUGGUGGCGAGAUUGAAAAACGCAACUCAUGUGCUUUAUAUGUUGUAGUAUGGUGGCGGCGGUUGACGAAAACCGCCUCAAAAACCGUCGCAAUGUGAAGGUGAGGGCGGUUAUUUCAGAACCUUCGCAUGCCAAAUUUCGCAAACUUAAAAAAUUCUUGUAGUGUAGGAACAUAAAAUACAUCCUUAAGAGUAAGUAUUUUUCCAGAAGUGAAUUCAAUCUCCACUGUUCCUUUUCCUUUGACUUGGACAGUUGAGGCAUUUCUCGUGUACAAAAUACUUCCAUCUUCUUCAUCAAUGGUCUUAAAUAGUUCUUUAUUUUUGCACACAUGGCUGGUAGCACCAGAGUCUAUCCAUCAAGAUUCAACAUCUUCAAUCAUGUUGAGUUUAGAAAUGACAGCAACAAGAUUAUCUUUUGUUGCACUUGAAUUCUUCUCUUUGUUCUCCCUUUUCAAGAACCUGCACUCAUUUUUAAAAUGUCAUAGUUUUCCACAAUGAUAACAACUUCCUUUUCUUUUCUUUCUUUGUUCAUCAUUACCGUUGUGUUUUUCAUGAGAUUUAUCAAAAUCUUGAUUUCUUUUCUUAAAAGAUUUGCUUGAAUUUCCUUCCUCCAUACAUGGAUCUUUUCAUGAGAAAAUUAGUUUUUAGUACCCUCUUGUUUACGGUACUCUUCUUCUAAACGAAGAUGAUUACCCAAUAUCUCAAGAGAUAUGUCAUAUUUCUUAUGUUUCAUAGAUUUUUUGAAAUCUUUCCACGAAGGUGGAAGUUUGUCUAUUAUGCAAGAUACAAUAAUAGUUUCAUUCAUGUGCAUUUGAUGUUGUUUGUAGUUAUUAAGAAUACGUCCAGUCUCAUGCAUUUGUUCCAUUACUGAUUUAUUAUCAACCAUUUUAUAAUUAUUAAAUUGAGAAACAAGAAACUUCUUACUUGUAGCGUAUUCUUGCAUGUAUCUUGACUCUAAUUUCUCAUAUAGUUCCUUUGCAAAGAUGCUACUUUGAUAUAUAUCAAACAAAGAGUCAGACAUUCCGUUGAGAAUAUGGCCCAUGCAUAUAUAGUCAUCAUUGUCCCACUUCUGUCUUUCUCUUGUUUCUGCUUAUGUUUCCACUUCCUUCUCCAGCGGUCUUGUGGUGUUUAGGACAUACACCACCUUCAAAGUUGUAAGAAGGAAUUUCAUCUUUUUCUGCCAACGGAUAAAAUUUCCUCCAUCGAAUUUCUCCAACUUCACAAAAUUAGAAGUCAUUUCUUUGAGUGAUGCAGCCAUUGAUUGAAAAAUAAGAUCGAACUUAAAGAUUGUUGGAUCUGUGUUGGUCACAACUGCUGCAAGACUUUAAUAGUGAAGUUGUUGAUGAAGAUUAUAUACAUCAAAUUCCAAAGUGUGUUGUUUCACUAGCCUUUAGGUUCGAUUCGCCCCCACCAUUCAGAUGCAAAUGAGAUAACCAACAAAUCCCCUUUAGGGUACUUUGGAAAACCUUGAUAUGAUUUUCACUUUCACACCAAGAGUAUCUUUCAAUAGUAUGUUACAAAAGAAUGAUUCUUAUUCUUUACUUAUGCAUUAGAAGAGAAUAAUAUGACUUAGAAUAUAAGAAUGAGUGGGAAAAGUGGAUGACAAUCUCUAUAAUUUCGUGUAUGCAUUAUGUCCAAAGUGACACUAUUUAUUGAAAAAUAAUGUCACUUGAGAAAGAGUUAAAAUUCUUGGUUCUGCCACUGUUUCGCGAACGCAUAUAUACAUAUAACGUUCACUUAUUGACUAAAGCAUUGCAUUGGUCUGGUGGUUGAUCAAUACACCAAUCUCAUUUUUAAUGAACGGGACCUUAUGUUUACACACAACCACUCAACCUGUGCCUUUUCAUAUGAUCAACUAUUGAUAAAGCAAGGUCAUGAUUGGUGUAAGUCUUGUUUCAAGGCUUUGAAUCACAUUUCAUCUUGUAUUGCUGAAGUUAUUACUAACAAAAUGAUAUAACUAAUUGCCAGAAGAAAAAAAAAAACAUAUCACCAUAAAGAAUAUAUGAUUGCACUUGUUUGAUAAUAAACAGAAGAAGGAAGCUUCGUCGGAGGAGUGUGAUGAGGUUGUUGAAGACUUAAGUACGGUAAAAGCAAAAGCUAAGGGUAAACAAGUACAAGAACCCCAUAAGAGUGCCAAAUCUAUUAUGAAGAGAUUAGGGGCUAAGAUAUUAGGACUUUUAGAGCUUUUUUUGUCAAUGAGCAGUAUGUGUAUGGUGAAACUUCUCUUGAUUUUCUAUUGCAUAGGGAUGACAGGGCAAAGAACACUACGCGAAAAACUGCAUUUUACAGUGUUUUUUUUAAUCCAUUUACAGCGCUUUUUCAAACAAAAAAAACGUUGUGGAAUCGAGCGCUGUAAAUGAUACAACAGCGCUUAAAACAUGUAAAUAUAACGCGCGCUUGUUAUGCACAUUUUACAGCGCUUUUUCAACAAAGCGCUGUAACAUGCACCCCAUUAUAUGAGUUAUGAGUCUGCAUUUUACAACGCUUUUUAACAAAACCACUGUAAAAUGCACACCCAUUAUAUGAAAUUAUGGGUCUGCAUUUUAACGCUUUUGUUGUACAUUUUACAGCGCUUUCUCAAGAAAGCGCUGUAAAAUGUACAACAAAAGCGUUAAAGUGCAGACCCAUAAUUUCAUAUUAUGGGUCUGCAUUUUACAGCGCUUUCUCACGAAAGCGCUGUAAAAUGUACACCAUUAUAGCGCUUUACAACAAUAUUUUACAGCGCUUUUUAAAAAAAGCACUGUAAAAUGUGUUUUUUUUUUAAACGCUGUAAAUUAAUUAUUUGAAAUGACAAGCGCUUUUUAGCUUUUUAUGGCAUUUUUUUUAGAAAGCGCUGUCUUUUAUCUUUGCAUUCAAAAUUAUUUUGAUCCAAAAUCAGUUCACAAUCAGUGCACACAACAACAAAACAUAUUCAAAUACCAUAAGCAGUUCACACAAUCAGUAAAACAGAAAUCAGAACUCUGUAACUUAAUUAACAUAUAUGUAACUUUGUAACUCUGUAAUUUACAACCUAAUUAACUACAUUCAAAUACAUAUAUAUAACCUAAUUUACAACCUAAUUAACUACAUUCAGAUAUAUAUAUAUAUAUAACCUAAUUUACAACCUAAACUACAUUCAGAUCCAUAUGCAUGUUCAUAUAUUGUGUCCUAUGAUCAUUUACAUAUAAUAACUAACAGAAUAUACAUAAUAUGCACUAGCUACCAUAUAAUAUUCAGAUCCCUUGCCCAACAGCAAGCUAUUUCCCAGAAAAUCAAAUAAUUUGCAUGUCAAGCACAUACUGACACCAGUCUUCCUUUAAUUCCAUCGGAUCUUCCUCAGAAUACGAUGGACUGGAAUUGUCAAAGUACUGCAAUAUAAAAAUUGAACAUAUUAUAUUAAGUUAGUAUCAAAUAUAUAGAUAAUUUAUAUAUGAAAAUCAUAUAAUGAAAAAUACUGUACCGUUUAUGGGAUAAUAGUUUUAUUCUUCUCAACAAUCUCCUUCAUGAAUCUCAAUACGUAGUACCCACAGUUGCAAAUAGCACCCAAUGUGCCCUACAACAACAAAAAAUUGGUUAAGCAAUUUUGUUUAUAGACAACUAAUAAAUUAAAUUCUCAUCAAUUAAAAAAGAUAAAAUUACGUACCCUGAAUUAUAUGGUGCCAAGAACAAUUUAUCACUUUCUUUAUUUCUUAAAAACAUAUCUACAAUGUAGUGUUUUACAUUGUCUGGAUCGAGUUUGAACAUCGACAUCUUAUGCGGAGACAAGAAUGAGUAUUUAUUUGACAGUUUCCUCGUGCACACGACCUUCUCGUACAAAAACCUUCAAUGAAAAUUUUAAACUAGAUUAAUUACCAAUACAUUUAAUUAAUUACAAAUAAAUGCAAUUAAAAGUAUUUUUUACCUUAUGUACAAGCUGAUUACAGUAACACUCAGCUCCUUAUGUUCGAGAAGUUCGUACAUGUGCUCCUUUUCGAGGUAUUCAAUAUACUCAUCUCCAAAGAUGUCUUUAUUCAUUUGUACGAUGGGCGAAUCGUUGCUGCUGCCCAUGUUCCUUUUUAUUUGGAUGUCAAGACACGCCCCGUAUUUACCAAGGCGUGGCUGACUUUUAUUAGGAGCAGCAGCAGCAGCGACCGAUUUUCCCCGAUCCAGAUUUUUUGUUGCUGCAAGUUUUGCAGCUUUAUUACCCUCCAGCCUUUGUAGUUUGGCAGCCCUAUUAACCUCCAAUUUUUGAGGUCUGCUGCCUUUUUUUGGCUGUAGGGGUGGUUUAUUUAUUUGGACCUACAAAAAUGAGGUAAAAUGUUAGUUUAUUGAAUCUGAAAAAAUAAAAAACCUUAGGCAAUAAAUGUGACAAACCUUUUCGGGAGAUGUAACUGAUUUGUCCUUGGGAAUCUUUUUUUCGAGGGCAACAAGGUGUGUGGGCCAUGCCACGUAACUGCCAAUAGCGUCGCUUAAGAACUUCAUAUCUCCAUCGUUGUCCGGUAUGGGCAACGGUGCAGUUGGUUCGAAAGCAACCGUAGGCGAUACUUUGACAUGGCCCGCGGGGAUCGGAAUAUUGUGCAAUACUUCUCCCGAAGUAUUGUGCAAUAUUCCUUUUCCCACCUUCCGUUGAGUCGGCGAGGACAAGUAUAGGACACAUGUAGUGACACCCUACAUCAAUAGUUAAAACAUAAGUACAGUUAAUAUAUAAGUUUGUUUAAUACAUAAGUAAUUACAUAAGCAAGUAAGUAGUAAGUAAUUAAUUACCUCGGGAAUACUCUUCAAACCGACGUUGCAACUCCCGGUUUCACUCUCCAUUUGUAUUUCAGGUUGGAGCUGAACCGGAAGUUGCUUGUCUUUAUUCGUAUUCACCAAGAGUGCCACUUGCUCCGAUAAGAUUCUGAGCUUCUCUAAUACUUCCUCGUUGGAAGGUUUUUGGCGCUUCUCUUGAGGAAAAAAGCUUUUGGGAGUUACGCCAAAUCCUUUCCCCCUCACUCGACCGGAAUACUCAGGGACAUUAAACACUUUCCCAAGAAUGUCCCUGCACGUAUCCUUGUUGCCCUCUUGAGUUUCAGAACUUUGUUCAAUAGUUUCCUAAAAUACAUGUAACAUUAAAAAGAUAAGUUCAAUAGCAUUUUUAAAAUACAAUAUUAAAAAAUAUUAAAGUGAUAAUAUACUUACACAAAGUUCUACAACUUUCUUGACAUUUUCAUUAUCAACCACUCCUUCUUUAUUAACACGCGCUUCCUUCCACAAUAUAUGACGACCCAAGGGUUGAUCGGCUUGGGUGUCUUUUCUCUAUUCGUUAAAAUCAUAAACAAAAUAAUACAAAUUAGUUACACACUAUAGUUUAUAAUACAAAUUACUUCAUUAUAUAAAAGUGAUGUUUAAUUACUUACAAUUUGUUGUUCAAGGCGUGCAUAUCCCAUAUGUGAUUUCUUGUAUGGGUGUUUUGGAUUGCUUGCCCGUUCGCGAUUUGCCUUACUAAUAUUCUAUAUAAAAAAAAAUAGCAAUUGUGUAAAAAUUUAAAAUACGCUACGAAUAUGAAUAAUAAAACACAAAUGCUAAUAAAUUAAUCACUUACGACAAACGCCGGGUCAGAACGUUUGGAAACAAAUGCACUCCAUUCAUCCUUUGAUAUAUAAUGUUGAUAUAUCUUUGGAGGUUCAGCAUUUGUGUUUCCUUCUCUAUCUUUUAGAUAGAAAUUUGAGAGAUGGGAUCUAAAUCCACGAUGGAUUUUCCCAGCAACUCUCAAAACAUAUGACUUUCGUUCCUCAUCAAGAACAAAAGUCGUCUGCAAUGAAAACAAUUAUAAGUAAAGUAUUUUAUAGAAAAAAAAUUAUAAAUGACAAAAGAGUGGAUCAAAAAAUUUACUUGAAUGUCAUUCCAUAUAAUAUCUUUGGCAUCCUUCAACGCCUUAUCUCUCCAAUUGUCGACUAUAAUUGGGACAUUUUGACAAACAACAACCUCAAUAUAGCUUACAAACAUAGAGCUGUUGGGGUCAACUGGCUGACCACUCUCAUUCCAGCCAACCUAAUAAACUCAUAUAGUAAGUACAUGCCCUAAACCCUAAAAAAAGAUAAAAAACACACAUCAAACAGAGUAUAGUAUACCUCAAAUUUAAUGCCAUUACUCCUUGCUUUAAUCACCUUUUGCAUGAUAGUUGCACCACGUUUGACUUCUUUUUCGUAAGUCUUAGAGGUGCCAACUUCUUCAUUUUGAACUUCUAUAUCUUUGUUUGUAUCCAUUUAACUACAACAAGUUCAACAUGCAGUUUAGUAUAACAUCAACAAGCUCAACAUGGAUCAUGCAUUAUUAUAAACAAGCUCAACAUGGAUCAUGCAUUAUUAUAAACAAGCUCAACAUGGAUCAUGCAUUAUUAUAAACAAGCUCAACAUGGAUCAUGCAUUAUUAUAAACAAGCUCAACAUGGAUCAUGCAUUAUUAUAAACAAGCUCAACAUGGAUCAUGCAUUAUUAUAAACAAGCUCAACAUGGAUCAUGCAUUAUUAUAAACAAGCUCAACAUGGAUCAUGCAUUAUUAUAAACAAGCUCAACAUGGAUCAUGCAUUAUUAUAAACAAGCUCAACAUGGAUCAUGCAUUAUUAUAAACAAGCUCAACAUGGAUCAUGCAUUAUUAUAAACAAGCUCAACAUGUAUCAGUAUAUCUUAAAAAAGCUCAACAUGCAUUUAAAUGAUUACAAAAAAUUUAUAACAUCAAUACCUGAAUAAUGGUUCGAAGAAAGAUGAAAUGUGAAGAAAAGAGGGAACGCAGAAAGUUCACAGAAAUAUGGUUCACAGAAAUACGGUAUUGAAGAAAUACGUAAUGAGGGUUACGUAUUUCAAUGAAAAUAUAUUGUGUGAAAUGGGAGAGAUGAUCUUGGAUGGAAAUAAGGUUCGUAAUGGACGGGAUGAUAGGGUUUGCAAAAGAAGAGAAGAACGAUGAAGGUUGAGAUGAUAGUGACGUUUACGUAAUGAAGAGGAAACUGAAGCGGUUAUUGUUAUAUAUACGUAACCCUUUUACGGCGCUUUUUUAUAACCCUUUUACAGCGCUUGUUCAAAUAAGCGCUGUAAAAUGUCUCUUUAUUUUAUUUUUAAAACAUUAUUUUACAACGCUUAUUUGCAAAAGCGUUGUAAUAGACCUCCUUGUUUUAUUAUGUUAUAUGAAGAGUUUUGUUUAAAGCCUUUUACAGCGCUUUGUUAAACAAGCGCUGUAAAAGGCCUUAUUGUUUUUGUGUUUUGUUAUGUUAUUUUUUAAACAAGCUCAACAUGCAAAACCCACAUAGUAGUAACUGGUCACCACCAAAAUCCCUUCCUCUUCACCAAACUCUUCUCCUUUUAUGCAUCUUCUUCACAAACAUCAAAGCUUACUCUUUCACAAUUCAAUCUCUACCUCAACACCCUUUUUAUCUCUUUACAUUCCCUUUCCUUCUUAAAUCGAAACUUGGUAUUCAAGUUCAUUGCCAUGUUGCGAAAAAUGGGUUUGAGUCUGAUGUUUUUGUUAACAAUGUGUUUUUGGGGAUUCCCAUGAUGGUACAAGGUGUUUGAAGAAAAUCCUGUUAGAGAUAGUCAUGUUAGGUGUCUAAUAAUUAUUAUUAAUAAAGCUGUUUACAUCGCUUUUUCAAAUAAGCGCUGUAAAAUGUCAUUUUUACUUAUUUUCAAAAGCGUCGUUUACAGCGCUUUUUAUAAAAAGCGCUGCAAAAGAUCUCAGUAUAUUAUUUUUGUGUUGGUUUUAUUUGGGUUCAAUUUUGGAUGACUGUAACUGAUCAGACAUUUAUUCCAAUCGAAUUGGCACUUAAUUUACAUUAUAUAAGUGACAUUAGUAUAAAACACUCAAUUCUGCCAUAUUAGUAUAAAACACUCAAUUCAAAUUACAUGCAUAUUUAUCACAAUAAUUCAGAUUACAUGCAUAUUUAUCACAAUAAUUCAGAUUACAUGCAUAUUUAUCACAAUAAUUCAGAUUAUAUUCAUAUUUAUCACAAUAAUUCAGAUUACAUGCAUGGCUUAUAUAAAACAAUUAAACAUAUACAUUAAGAUGCCCUUCUUCUUUUCCUGGUGGAAUUCACAUUUGUUUGUCCAUUUACAAUACGAAACGAUGGAUUAAUCCAAAUUCCCUCAUCAUGAUCAUCUCUAAGAUAUAAACCUCAUCAGUUGAAUCAAUUUCAUGUGGUUGUUGUGAUGUUGCAAAUAAAAUCCCUCAUCAUGAUCAUCUCUAAGAUAUAAACCUCAUCAGUUGAAUCAAUUUCAUGUGGUUGUUGUGAUGUUGCAAAUAAAAGAUCAUUACCAACAUCUUCAUCAUUAUUGUUAUCAUCACUUAUUUUAUUGGUCGAUAGGACAACAUACCAUUUAUCAUCAGAAGGAUCAGUGACAUAAAACACUUGUUGAGCUUGCGACGCUAAAAUAAAAGGCUCGUCUUUGUAUCCCACCCUAUUAAAAUCGACAAGCAAGAAUCCUGACUCAUCAAUCCGAAUGCCAUUAUUAUCGACCCACUUGCAACCAAAUAUAGGAACACGAAACAUUGUGUAGUCUAACUCCCAUAUGCGCUCGAUAACCCCAAAAUAUGAUAGAUUUGCAUAUAUUGGGUUUUUGUCUUUUGCACUUGAGACAUGCAUCGCUUCAGCUACGAGAGUGACUCCACUAUUUUGCAUAGUGGUCUGAUCAUCUUGUUCUUUGGUAUAAAAUGUGUAGCCGUUAAUAACAUAACCAGUGUAAGAAAAGACAUGUAAGCUCGGACCAUUUGCUAGCCACCUCAAUCUAUUUGAAAUUGAUCCGGGGUCUAUAUCAAAUUUUGACAUUAUGUGAUUUUUUAACCAUGUUACAAAACUUCGAUUGUGCUCUCGAGUUAUCCAAUUUUGAUUCCUAUUCAUGUUCAAACGAGAUAACUGAUCAAUGUGUAUUGUAACAUACGGUUGAACCUCAUCAUCAUUGUGCAGAACAUACAAUUGUGCCUGCUCCCAUUCUGUCCUUGAUAUAGUCAGUAGUCUCCUUCCAGUUAUCCCUUCUCCUGAUAGUCUUCCCGAAUGACGAGACAUGGGAAGCCCUAUGGAUUCAACAUUGGACAGAUAUUCAGUACAAAAUUCAGCAGCCUCUUCAACAAUGUAUCGUUCAGCAAUACAACCUUCUGGUCGACUUCUACUUUUUACGUACCCUUUUAAUAUUUUCAUAUAUCGUUCUAUCGGAUACAUCCAUCUCAUAUAAGCUGGCCCACAAAGUUGUGUCUCCUUAACCAGAUGAACAGUAAGGUGAACCAUUAUAUCAAAAAACGAUGGUGGGAAAUACAUUUCAAGCUCACACAAAGUAACAACAAUUUCCCUCUGCAAUGUCGGUAAUUUCUGAGGGUCGAUCACUUUACUACAAAUUUCCCUGAAGAAGAAACAUAAUCUAGUUAAGGCUAGUCGAACUUUUUCAGGUAAAAUGGAACGUAUACCUAUUGGUAGCAAAUGCUCCAUUAUAAUAUGACAAUCAUGGGUCUUCAAACCUUUUAACUUGAGGUCUUUCAUACAAACCAAAUUUUUAAUGUUCGAAGAGUAUCCUUCUGGAACUUUAACUUCGUGUAGAAAUUUACAUAAAACAAUUUUUUCCUUUCUAGAUAGAGUAUGAGCGGCUGGAGGUAGAUAUGUGCGAUUUCCUUUCUUUACUGGAGCCAGUUCAUUUCUUAUUCCCAUAUCGACCAAGUCCAAUCUUGCAUUGACGCCAUCUUUAGACUUUCCUGGAACAUUGAGUAACGUACCAAUAACACUUUCAAAUACAUUUUUUUCAAUAUGCAUCACAUCGAGGAAAUGUCUUACAUACAAUGACUUCCAAUAUGGCAAUUCAAAGAAAAUUGACUUUUUCUUCCACCCAGUUUUCACCAGCUCUCCCGCAAAAGGUUUGCCAAAUUUAUUGGUCAAACCUUGUACUUUUUCAAGUAUUUGAUAUCCAGUCGGUGCUAAAGGAGCUUUACCUUCCUCUGAUUUUCCAUUGAAUGCAUUUCUCCACCCACGAUACUGAUGACUAUAAGGUAAAAAUCUACGAUGUCCAAGAAACACAUUCUUCUUACAAUGUUUCAACCGCAUCCAAUUUGUACUCUCUUCACAUAUAGGACAUGCACACUGACCUUUAAUGCUAUAUCCUGAUAAAUUACCAUAUGCUGGAAAAUCAUUAAUUGUGCCGAACAACAUAGCCCUCAAAUUGAAACACUUUUUCCUAUACCCAUCAUAAACUUCCACACCUGUCUCCCACAGAAUUUUUAAAUCUUCAAUUAAAGGAGUCAAGUAUACGUCGAUAUCAUUCCCCGGUUGUUUGGGUCCAGAAAUUAACAGAGACAACAUCAUAAACUUACGCUUCAUACAUAACCAUGGAGGUAGGUUAUAUAUUACCAAAAUCACAGGCCACGUGCUAUGUGAGAUGCUUUGAAGACCAUGUGGAUUCAUUCCAUCAGUAGAAAGUGCAAGUCUUAGAUUUCUUGACUCUAUCCCGAAUUCAGGAUACUCGUGAUCAAUUUUUGCCCAUUGUGGGGAAUCUGCAGGGUGUCGAAACAUUCCAUCUCUAAUUCUUUCAUCUGCAUGCCAUGUCAAGUGUUUUGAAUCUUCUUCACUGCGAUACAUGCGCCUAAAUCUUGGUAUUAUAGGAAAAUACCACACGACUUUUGCUGGAGUAGAUUCUUUCUUCUUAUAUCGAGAGACAUUGCAUUUCGGACACGCCUUAAGUAGUUCAUAUUCGUUUCGAAAUAAAAUGCAAUCGUUAGGACACGCAUGAAUCCUUUCGUAACUCAUUCCAAUAGAACACAAAAUCCGUUUAGCCUCGUAGGUUCGACUGGGAAGUUCAUUAUCAUCUGGCAACAUAUCUUUUAUGAGUGUUAAUAAUUCCGUAAAGCUUUUAUCAGACCAUCCAUUACUCGCUUUUAAGUUGUACAACUUUAAUAUCGCUGACAGUCUUGUGAAUUUAGUACAACCAUUAUAUAAUUCUUUCUCUGCAUCACUCAACAAACUUUCAAACAUUUUAGGACAAUCUCGAAGAUCUUCUUCAACUGCUUUUGCAAUCUCAUCAACUCGGUCCGGCUCAUAUGUAUCUGUAUCGAAAUCAGUAGAUCCCUCCUGCUGGAAAAUCCUCCUUCUCCGAAGGAUCUUCUCCCUCCCUAGCAUCUUAGGUCUAUCCCUUAUGUCUUUUUGGAUGACAAAAGGGGAGAAUUAAGUUAGAUUUUCAUUUUUUUUGUCCUGCUUUCUUGUUGUAAUUCUGCAACUUUUGAUGUAUCUUUGCCAAAUUUAAUGAACUUUUGUUAUCUUUAAUGAAACUCUUUCUGAUUGCAUUCAAAUAUUUUAUUUUAUGUUGAAUUAACAAAUGCACAAAUUGAGGGGGAGCUGUUACAGCUCUUUAUCUUAGAAUCAAAUUAAAAUCUAAAUUAACAUGUUUGUCAUCAUCAAAAAGGGGGAGAUUGUUGAGACAAACUCUCUAUUUUAAAAGUUUUGAUGAAAAUAAACAAAGGUUAAUUAAGAAUGUUAAUUAUGAUUCUAAAUGUUAUGUUAAUUUAACUUGUGUUCUUGAGUGGUUUUAAUUAAGAGCAGAAUCAAGCAAAUACAAGAAAAGACAACAACAAGAUCAUUCUACAUCAUAAACAGAGAAUGAUCUUCAGCUUCACCGAAUUAUCUAUCACAGCAUGUUGUUCAAAGUUUAUCUACAUCGUUAACAAAGAAUCUGUCCUGGAAAUUUGUUCAUAUCUAAUCAGUACAUGGAAAGGAACAAGUAGGAUUCAUCCAAGCUCAAAAAGGCUAUUUGAUCACAAAGAUCAAAGGGUUCAAACAUGGACAAAAGUCAUGACGGCUUAAGAACUCCAAAAUUCAAAUGUCAAGAAAACUUGAUCAAACUGGGUAUAUGACAAGACAAGAACAAAGGAAAUACAGAAAAUUUAAAACGGGAACUCCAGAAUGAUUAUUGAAGCUCAAGAAAGUUCAAACUGUUAAAACCAAGAACGCUAAUCAUUCUCCGUUUUCUGCACAUCAACAACAGCCUUGCAUCCUCUCUGUUUCAGUCUGCAAUUCGCUUCAAAUCUUCUCCAACCUUCUCUAGCUACACUCAAGACUCAAGACAGAUAAUGUACCAUCCAAGAUCAAUGAAGAAAUGUCAAAGAAAGGACAGAGAUGCUUUAAAUGCUAAACCUUAAAAGUCAAAAAGCUAUUUCAAAGAAGGAUUAUUUUUAUUCUAAAAAUAAUGUUUCAGUCAAAAAGCUAACAACUCUUGUACCUUCAUUUAAGUACAUCUACAACCUAUAAAUAGAAGGCCAUUAUCUCAGUUCUAAACAAGAAAUUCAAGUGCUAAGUAAUCAACAAUAUACAAUCACACUUAAGCUUGAAAUUCUGCAAAACAGAGACAACAUCAUUUUAUGCAAUUCGCGAAACAGCCACUGCUGCACAUUCACAUAUCAGCUGCGAAAUUGUCUUUAGAUACUCUGUAAAGAAUCUAUUCUCAAACAAGAGUUGAGCAAUAUCAGAUUAUGUCAAAUUCAAUCAUUUGAAAAAACUCAAACUAUAAGAGUUUCUUUAUAGUUUGUUUAAGAUUGCUUCCUAUCAAGGUUAGAUAGGUGUUGUAAUUGCUUUCUGGGUGGAAAGUAAUUAAGAAAGAAAUAGAUCAAGGUUGAUUUAUUCUAGGAAAACAGAGGCAACAUCAUUUUCUGCAAUUCGCGAAACAGCCACUGCUGCACAUUCACAUAUCAGCUGCGAAAUUGUCAUUAGAUACUCUGUAAAGAAUCUAUUCUCAAACAAGAGUUGAGCAAUAUCAGAUUCUGUCAAAUUCAAUCAUUUGUAAAAACUCAAACUAUAAGAGUUUCUUUAUAGUUUGUUUAAGAUUGCUUCCUAUCAAGGUUAGAUAGGUGUUGUGAUUGCUUUCUGGGUGGAAAGUAAUUAAGAAAGAAAUAGAUCAAGGUUGAUUUAUUCUAGGUGUUGUAAGAUUAAGAAGGUUCUUCAUUUUAAACACUUAGUGGAAAAUCUCACAGUGUGAGGACUGGACGUAACCCACGUUGGGUGAACCAGGAUAAAUCUUUGUGUGGUAUUCUCUUUCCUUUCUCCUUCUUUAUUAUACUGCAUUAAUCAUUUAAGAUAAAAUAGAAACUGAUUUUCUGCUAAUUUAAGAACGUUCUCUGUUUUAUAACAUAAACCAAGAACGUUCUCCGUUUUCUGUUUCAUAACCAAGAUCAUUCUUGAGUUAUUUUCUUAAGUUUUAACAGGAAUUUUUAAAAGGCAUAUUUACAAUUCAAACCCCCCUUUCUUGUAAAUCGAUAUUUUUACUUCAACAAUUUCAAAACAGAACAGAUUAUGUGGUAUGAGUUUUUGACAAUUUUUGACAAUUUCAAAACAUAACAGAUCAUGUGUAGAAGAGAUUUAAUAUAUAUAUAUAUAUAUAUAACAAAACAUAACAGAUCAUGUGUAAAAAAUACCUGAGACAACGUAGAUGGCCGCACAGUACGUAGAAGAUAUUAGGGUUCCCAAUGUAUAUAAUUAUUUGAAAGAUGUAGAGGAUAUGAGGGUUUCCAACGUAAAUAAUUAUUUGAAAGAUGUAGUUUACAGCGCUUGUGAAAAAAGCGCUGUAAUAGGUAGUUAAAUUCAAUGAUAGCGCAUGUAUUUUACAGCGCUUGUGAAAAAAGCGAUGUAUUAGGUAGUUCAAAUAUUUGAAAGCGCAUGUGUUUACAGCGCUUGUGAAAAAAGCGCUGUAACUGAUACGCGAAAGCGCUUCAUUUUACAGCGCUUGUUUUGCAGCGCUUGUCAACAAAAGCGCUGUAAAAGGCUCCGUUAUUUUUAAAAUAUAUUUACAACAGCGCUUGUGUUUAGCAAGCGCGGUAAAAAGGACGCUGUUAAAUGUCAUUUUUGGUGUAGUGGAAGUUAAGUCAUUACAAAGAUGAAUUUAAAUAUUCUCUGCAACACUACGGAUUUGGUAUGAAACUACUUUGGGCUGAUGUUAAGAUAAACUCUAGAAUAAUUUUUAAAACUUGGUAAUGGAAAGAGUCUUUCUAGAAGGGAGAGACAACAACUCACGAGGACAACAACCGAUAUUUUCAUGCUAGUUCUUUUUGAUGUAUUUAUCACAGUUCCGUUCAUGGAGUUUCUGUUGCCAGUAUUCUUGAAACUGUUCCCCAACAUGCUGCUUUCUACUUUCUAGGAUAAGAUGAAAGAAUAGGUAAUUAUUAAUGUACUCAUCAAACAUUACUUGCCUUAUUGCUGGCGUGCUUUAUUAUCACUCAAUUUUGGGAAAGCUUAACUUGUAGGAGGCAUUGAAAAGAAGGCUAAAUGCAAGAAUAAAAUAUGAUAUGUUUCUUCAAGAUACUGUGAAAGAAAUGACGAAGGAGAUUCAUAAUUCCCGAAGUGGAGAAAUGAAGAGACAAUAGAAGAACUUGAUGAAUUUAUGAACAAGGUCAAUCAUGUUAUUCGUAAUAUAGCUAUUUUAUAUUUCAGCUGUCAUCUUAUGGACAAUAUUGUAUAUUAUGUUCGUAUUUAGUUUGUUAAUGGAACAUGUCAGAACAGGUGCUUGAGUUUCAAAAGAUGCGAUCUUAGGAUUUGCCAAAUUAUUUAACGAUGAGUUCACUUUGGAUAACAUAGUAGGUUGGUCCUUCUACCAUUGGUUAUGUUCAACUAAUUGUGAUCUUCUGUUAUGAAUCUUAUAUUUUGGAUCUCCAUUAUCAUUAUACUAAUAUGUCUUUUGGUUUUUAAAAUGGAUAAACAGGCCUCGCUUGGUAAAUAUGUGUAAAUACAUGGCUCUGAUUUUGGUGUAUGUAUAUAAUCAUUGGCUCUUAUAGGUUAGAAGAUUUUAGGGAAGUUUCAUUUAAUGCUGUGUGCCAGAUUUUUUAUUUUAUUUGGUGUAGAUCAGGAUUUUUUUUUCCAAGCAUUAUACAUAAUACAUAUCUUAUAUAUGUUACAUGAAUCUAUGAAUGUUUGCCUUCUCACUUACUUUUUUGUAUCAUUGUUAUUUUGAAAAUAUAGAUUUGAAAUUUUAGGCUUUGACAGGAUCAAGAAUGAUGAUAAAUUGAUUAAAGAAGGUGUGGAGUCUCUUUCUGAAGCAGAGCUUCGUCAAGCUUGUAGAGAUCGAGGAUUACUUGGAUUGCAUUCAGUGAAAGAAAUGCAGCAUCAGGUUAACAAUAAAUGUUUAAACAUAAUUUGUACACUGGAGCUCAAUUAUGGAGUCUCCAACAUUGUGUUAAUUUAUUGGCUGGGAAAUUCUUGAGAAUGAGAAACUAGCCAUAUAAUUGCUACUUUCAGAAAUUUGAACCAUUAUCUUCUUAUUUUUGCAAUUUUCAGAAACUUUAUCUAUUUCUAAUUACUACUUUGAGAACCUUCUUAUUGAACUUUUUUUUAAUCAAUUUUAAUUGAAAAUCAUUGAUAUGAUAUCCAGAUUUAACUCAAACAACACCCAAGAUUCUCAAAUGCUAUUGUGUGGAGUGAAUAACAAAAAUAAUGUCUUAAAAACAAGGGUUGUAGGUAAACAACAUUUUGUCUUUCUUAUUUUUAUUAUCUAUGAUAUGAUCGAAGAUUAUUGGUUUAUAAUCCUCUAUAUAUAAUAAAUAUUUGCUCUCCAAUUUAUAAGGCCCUGCAUUUGAAAUUAUUUCUUAAUGAAAUGUAUGAAAUAAUAUUUGAUUUUGAGUUUAUUACCACUAUCAAAUUGGGGAAUUAGUUUGAUGUUUGCAUGUUUUGAUUUUGAGAAUUUGAUCUUGUUUGAUGUUAAUAUUAAAGUCUUGAUUAUGUAUGAAAUAGUGAGGUUGAAUUUAAUAUAUAUACUUAUAUGUUAUUUUCAGUCAAUACAUACUUGUAAUUGUCACGAGAUAGUAGACGUUCUUCUUAUUCUAGUUGCUGGUCUAAUCUUGGAACAACAUCAAUACAUCAUUAGGGACUAUCUAGAUGAAAAGUGAGGGGUUUAGUUUGUUUGUGUUGAAUUGGGUAUUGUUUAGAUAUUCAUGUCUAUGUUUAAUGGUUAUUCCAUUUGUUAAGUUGGCAAUGAUGCAACUGUUAUUGCUGGUACUUUUUCUUUCUCUAUGUGUCAUAGAUAUUUAUCACACUUAACACUUUGAACUUAUCUUUAUCAUUAUCAUGAUAUAUAUUUGUUUAUUUUUAGGGAACAUAUAUACUUUUGGGCUAUUUGUAUCCCAAUGUAAGUUUCAUAAAUUGAUUUUUUUUUUAAAAAGAUGACGAAUAAGAGAAAGAAUCAUAACAAUUUGAAUGUAGGAUUUAAUUUUUAAUAAAAAAAACUAGUAAAAAACUUGUACAAUCGCACCAGUGAAAAAAACUAAAGAAUCAUUUAGCAAGAUUAAGAGGUUUUGGCCCUGGUCCAAACACUGACUGCCUCAACUUGAUUAUGUCUAUUCGCGUUCCGGUUGCAACAUAUUUCUUUUUCGGGUAUGCAAGAGUAGACAGCCUCNNNNNNNNNNNNNNNNNNNNNNNNNNNNNNNNNNNNNNUCCCUUUCAUCAUGGUACGAUCACAUAAAUAAUACUUUUUUAAGUGAAAUCUGCUCUUUAUCCAAAAAAGUUACGAUGUCCUAAGGUUGGUCCAACAUAUCAUGAGGUCUAAAGCAAAACUAUUAGAUAUGAUAUUUUCAAAAAUUAAUAAAUAAAUUAUUAAUAUUUUAUUUAAUAAUUAUAGAAAAUUUCUUUAGUAGAAUUAAUAGUAUUUUCAAAUCUAUUUUCUCUAUAUUUUUCAAAAAAUAAAAUAAGACAUUUUAAUUGUUUUAUAACAACAUCAAAAACUCAUGUAAAAUUUUUCAUCUUUUAGUUGAAGAAGAAAAUAGUGUGUAUACUACUACUCCAAUAACUCAUGUUAAAAGUGUGUUCACUAAUAUUUCUCAUGAGUUAAUUGUUUCAUGAUUUCUCAAUUUAUAACUAAUAAUUCUCAUAUGAUGAAUGCACUCACUUUUGUCUCCUAAUUUCUAACUAAUAUUUUUCAAUUUAUAUAAAUUUUGUCAGUUAAUAUCAAAAGUUAAGACGAAAUUUUACAUAGAUUGAAAAAUAUCAAUCUAAAUAAAUAAUGAUUCUACCAAAAAUUAAAAAAAUAUUUAAAAUAAAAAAAAUAUUUUUUUUACGACGUCUAGGGCGAUCGUUUUAGGUGCUGUCCCUUGAGUCUGUUCUAACACUUCGUGUGUAAAAUUUUGUUCCAGCACGUCGUGUUAAGAGUUUUUUUUGACGUAUUUGUUAAACGCGUUUUUUUAAUAAGAAAACUAAUUCAAAUGACGUCAGCCUCAACCUGAUUAUGUGUCUUCCAAUAGGCGUUCCGGUUGCAACAUAGAAGGUUUCUUUUUCGGUUGACGACGUCUAGAGCAAUCGUUUUAGGUGCCUGUCCUUAAGCCUGUUCUAGCAAAGAUUUUGCUCUAGGACGUAGUGUUAAGAGUUUUGUUUGACGUAUUUGUUAAACGACCAUCUGUUAAAAGCUUUUAAUGUCACGUUGUGUUAAGAGUUUUGUUGACGUGUUAAUCGCUGUGAAUAUCUAAUAGAUGAUUAUUUAAUUUAAUGUCUUUAAAUUAAAUAAUGAUAAAAAUCAUCUUAAUCUUAUCUUAAUUUAAUUCUUUGUUUUUAUUUUUAGAAGUUUAACUUUUUAACUUUAACAAACAUAUUUCACAUUUCACAUAAAACAUUUGUAAAAUGACACUUUUUAUCACCGUUAUUAAGAAUAAUUUCUUUUUUUCAAUUGUUUUAAAAAAAAUUCUUAAUUCUUAUUCUCAAUCUCAUUUUAAUUGAAAAUCAUAUUCGUUUUCUAUAUCAUAUUUCCUAGACUUUGUAAUUUUUCUCUUUUGUUUUAAUUUAGGUGUUUUGUGUUUACAAUCUUUUCAUUGCAAGGUUUAUUAUAGAUUAAGGAAAAAUAUGUAACAUAAUUAUUAGAAGUAUAUAGUUUUUUAUAUUUAGAGAUUGAAGUGAUAUUUAUUUAUUUUCCUUUAAAAUGGCCACGGUUAUAUUAUGGUCAUCAGAAAAGGAGUAUAUUAUGUUGGUGAAAAUAUGUAAAAUUAAUAAUAUAUUAAAAAAAUUAAUUUGUCUAAAAUUGAUAUGCAUUUUUUUUGUUUCAAGUGCAACAAACUAAGUUAUAUCAAUCAUGAGUAUUUAAAUGAAAAUAUUGACGCGGUAAUUGAAACUAAUAAAAAAUUGCAAGUUAUUCAUAUGGAAAUAAAUAUCAAUUUAGUGAUAAAAUUUUAAUUUUAUAACCUCAAGAAAUAGAGAUUAAAUUUCAUAAUAAACAUAUAUAAAAUUAUCAUCAGUGUUACAUCUAUAUCUAUUACUAAUAAUUUUGUCUCCCCCAAAUUAAAAAAAUAAAAAUAAAAAGUGUUACUAAACAAGCUAACUAUGAGUCAUGACAAUGACAAUGACAAUAGUUGCUCUUAAUGUGUAUAUAUUCCCAUCCAUUACAAUAGUAUUGUAAAAUAUAUUGUAAGUAUUUUACAAUUUUUUAGACAAAAGUAUUUGAUUCUUGAAGAAUAAGAUAUUAUAAACUUUUUAAUUUUAUAGAUUUACAACAAGGAAAAGUACUUGCUCAUUGUAUUGAAGAUUUAUUUGGUAGAACCUUUGUACCUGCCUAGCUAACUAGGGUGAAGCAUAUUUGGGCUCCUAACCUCAGGUUAUAUACAAUUUAAUGUGUGGAAUAAUUUUUCCAUCCAGCAUAUAUAAUGUACUUAGGAUAAAAUAAAAUGGAUAAUGAGGAACUUGUCACAAGGUUGGUAAAUAUCCACCACAGGUACUAGUAGCAGUAGCGAAGGAGGCUCCAUGUUAUUUUUUAUUUUUUGUACAAAGGAGGUUCCAUGUUCAAUUCCUUAGUUUUUUGUCUUUUAACACAUGAUGGAAACUUAUCAUAAAAAAUAAAAAUAUUAAUAAAAAAUAAGCCACAAAUUUCAAAAUGCCUUAAGGAAGAGAAUAAUUGGAAAUAUUUAAGUACAAUAGGAUUGGUUGUUAUGAAUUAUAAAAGAAUGAUAAACAAUAAUGAAAAUAAAAACUACUUUGUAUUUGUUAACGAUAAAGAAUAUAUAUAAUUCUUUUAAAAAAUCAUCUAUAACAAUAAACAUUGCAAAGGCAAAAGAAUGUCUAUAAAAAAUUACUUAAAAAACACUUACACUAGAUUUAUAAUUUAAGUUUUAAGAUUUUUUUUUCUUUUCAAAUUUUCAUUUUUUUCAGAUAAAAAUUCUUAAAUAUUUUUUAAAAAAUGAGACAAACAUGUUUGUCACAAUGUGAGGAUGUCGUCUUGGAUCUCAAAUAUUUUUAUAUCUCAAAUUUAUAUUUUUAAUUUAAUUAAUAUUAUUAAUUUUUUAAUAUUAAAUAUGUUAAUCUUUAUAGUAAAUUUUAUUCUCUAAUUUUUGUACGAUUUAAUAAAUAAUAUAUUCAAUUAUGUGGUUGUAUUUAAUAUUUAGCUGUAAAUAAGUUGUUUAAUAUUGUAUCAAGUCAAUUUCUUUUAAUAUUAUAAAAAAAAUUAGACUUAAAAACAUCCAAUUUACUAUUGUUAAUUUUAACGAGUUUUAUUUUCUAUUUUACUUUAAAUGUUAAUAUUAUUGGAUCGACCCUAUCCUUGAAAAUCUCUAAAACGAAGGGAGAUGUUUUAAAUUAAAGCUAGUUUAAGUACUUAAUGAGAACUAAAUAACAUAAAUAUAAAGAUAUUAAUUAAAACAUCAUUAUUUGUAACAUAGAAAUUGACCAAGAGUCCUAAGAUGGUCAAGAGAUUGUGUCCCUUCGCAAAGGGUGCAAUUUUUUUUUUAUAAGAAAAAAGUGAUUUCCUACAUGAUUGCAAAAUGUCCACUAUCACUAUGAUGUGAAGUUUAAGAUAGCUGACUCAAAUAUACGCUAUGUUACUCCCUCUACUUCUAUUGGACUUUAUAACACUUAAAGUAAUUAAUGAGUGGAUUAUUGUCUAAUUAAAAAUCUUACCAAUAAAAUUAAAUGAAAUAAAAUUAUGAUAAAAGGAAAAAUGGUGCAGUGCCAACAAAAACCAAAUCUCAAAGAUAAAGACAACGACGAUUAGGGAGACUAAAUUCAUUAUGAAAGAAAUAUUCCCUAAUAAAAUUAAGUAAAUAAUCUGAAUGUCAUAUUGAUUUUGAAACUCCAACAUAGAGGAGGACACAUAUAAUCUCUAGAAUAAAGACAUGAUCAAUCAAUUUGCAAGCAGCCUAAAAAAAAUUACUGUGAGAUGGUCGAGACAAUCACGUUCCUUCUAACUUUUAGAACAAACAAAGAUGAUCGAAUGCAUAGAAGCAUCCAAAUUGCAUUGAAAAAUGUAAAACAACCUAUUGCAUAAUUUACAAGCCAAAGCACACAAAAAUAUGGGAGGAGCUUCCAUAAGCCACAUUACACAAAGCUAAAUUGAUGCCAUAACACACCCAUGAAGAGAGAAGUAAAUUGAAGGAGUAUGAAGUAAAGAUAGAGUGAGAGGUAAAUUUCUCAGAGCUUUGAUUGGUAGUGAAAAGAAGUUGAGAAAAGAGAAAUGUGUGAAAAAUAGUGUAAGAAAAGAUAAAUAAAAGAGAAAUAGAAUAAAUUUGAUGUAUUAAUUGGUUGAAGAGAAAUAGACAAGAAAUAGAGAAAAAAUGUUAAAAAUUAUUCGUGAAAAUGCGACAAUAUCUUUAAAUUUUACAGCAUUAUAUUUUUAAUAUAAUAAAUAACAUUUUAAUAUUAUAUAUUUAAUUUAUUGAAUUAAUUUUUUUUAUCCAUUUCUUUAAUAUUUAACUAAAUGAUUUAAGAUACUUAAUUUAAUUAUUAUUUUAGUUAUUGUUUAAAUUAAUUAAUUAAUUAAAAUCAUUAUAUUGAAAUGUUAGACACAAAUAUCAAGGUAAGAAUAUUAGUUUAGCAAUGACAAAUCAUUCUAUUUGGUUUCUUGAUAGUUUUGCAAAUAUAAUAAAAACGUAGGUCCCAUUAAUAUUUCUUCCCUCUUUCAUUUUUUAUUGCUUUGCCAUUGAUCUUUCUCUCGUCUAUCAGUCUCCUGUCCUUCUUUCUCCCAUACCAAUCACAACUCUAGGGUUUCUGAUCUUGUUUAUUUAUCAAACUAGGAUUGCACGCAUUUAUUGAACAUUUUGUAUGUACAUUGCUACAAAGCUUUCGAAAUUAAACAUUAAUAAGUGACUUAGAAGAGACAUAAUUAACUCACACAAUUACGAGAUCCUAAAUUCAAACACGGAACAAAAUAUCCAACCUAACAAUAUCAAUAUUUGUCAGUUAAAAUAUAAUUUAAAAACCUUUCAACAUAAUUCCAACAAUUACUAACAAUAAUAACACAUCGUUGCUUGCAUAUUCUAAGAUACACAACACAUGAAAUUGAUUGACCACAAAAUAUUAAUAAUAAUAACAAUUUACAUGCUCCUACCAAUUCUUUCCCUUAUUUUUCUUCCCCACCUCUACAUAUAUUAUCAAAAGCUAAGAUCCAACGGUGUAUUUUACAUUACCGAAAACUAACAAAAAUAGCCAAAAAUUGAGAGUUGGACAGCAUUCGCCAUUUUAAUAUAUCAAAUAAGCAUACUUCAUAAAAAAACAAAUUACCCUGUCGUGUUUAGAGGAAGACAUCUAAAUAAAACUUUAGGCAUGAGCAUAAUUUCUAUAAGUACAUUUUCUUUUUUCUAUCACAAUCACAUUGGUACGUUGGAUCAUCAGAUUUUAACAGAACAUGGUGACCCCAUAAUAAAAUACAGGUCGUAUGUAUAUAUAAUUGGUAAAAUUAUGUUCUCAUGAACAUGCAAACCAAAAGUUCUGAUUUCAGAGGCCCCUUGAUGUAUGCCUUUUCCAUUGCUGAUAUUCUUUGUUGUAUUAUUAGUGGAGAUGUUGCAACUACAAGAAGGGUACAUCUCCUCUCGCACCAUAUCAUCUCUACAUCUACAGGUAUUACAUCUCAACCAAAUCAGCUUAUCAUAGAUUCAAAAUACAUAAACCAUAGUCCAUAAAUAACAAGCUAAAACACUCGACCAAAUCAGUAAUCACACACAUCCUACAAUGGCUGUAGUGCUUUGGGCAUUGGCUUUAGCAAGCCUAUGCUACCCUCUAGCCUCAACCAAUGCUCAAUCACAUGCAGCUGCACCAUCAAAGUUUCCAACCACAACAGCAUCUUCACCCUCCACAUUGCCAAUUGCAACUUCACCAUCUUUAGCCAAACAACAACCUGUUGUGGCAGCAACUCCUGCUAGUAGUACAAAGAAACCACCAACAGCAACUUCUCCUACUUGGAACAAACCAACGAACACAAUCACAUCAGCAGCACCUUCCAAAUUACCAACCAUAAUCCCCGCUGCACCUUCCAAGUUGCCAACUGCAGCUUCUCCAACUUCUGGCACACCGUCAGCUGCUAAAACACCACCCAUUGUGGUAGCAGCUCCUCUUGCCUCAAGAAAACCACCAGUAGCAACAUCAACUCCAACAGCUGGCCCCGUGAAAUCACCAGUUCCCAAAUAUACAUCUCCAACAUCUUCCCCUGUGAAGUCAUCAGUUCCCAAAGUCACAACGCCAGCAUCUACUCCUGUAAAGUCAUCAGUCCCCAAAGUUACAACUCCAGCAUCAGCUCCUGUGAAGCCACCAGUUCCAAAAGUAACAUCUCCAACAUCUUCCCCUGUGAAGUUACCAUCUCCAAAGGUUACAACUCCAACAUCUUCUCCUGUGAAACCACCGGUUCCAAAAGCUAUAACUCCAGCAUUUGCUCCUUUGAAACCUCUUAUUCCAAAACCUACAACUCCGGCAUCUGCUCCUUUGAAACCUCUUGUUCCAAAAACUACAACUCCAACAUCUGCUCCUUUGAAACCUCCAGUUCCUAAAAUUACAACUCCAACAUCUGCUCCUUUGAAACCUCCAGUUCCUAAAAUUACAACUCCAACAUCUGCUCCAGUGAAACCACCAGUACCCAAAUUUACAACUCCAACAUCUGCUCCUGUAAAACCACCAGUUCCAAAAGCUACCACUCCAAAAUCUGCACCUUUGAAACCACCAGUUCCAAAAGUUACCACUCCAAAGGCUGCACCUGUGAAACCACCAGUUCCAAAAGCUACCACUCCAAAGGCUGCACCUGUGAAACCACCAGUUCCAAAAGCUACCACUCCAAAGGCUGCUCCUGUGAAAUCACCAGUUCCAGAUCCUCCAAAACUUGCUCCUGUAAAAACACCAGUCCCCAAGGUUACACCAGCAUUAAGCCCAAAAGCUCCAUCUCCUAAAAUUCUACCACCACCACAUCCACCCAAAAAAGCACCAGUUUCUCUACCACCACUACCUCUAGCACCUGUUUCACUUGCACCAUUACCGUUGCCACCAGCUUCUUCACCACCAAAGGCAUCCCCAACACCUGCAAAGGCACCAAAAGCACCAACACCAUCCAAAGAAACACCAGCACCAGCACCACAUAAAAAGAAAGCACCAAAGUCUUCACCUGUUCCUUCCCCAGCAAUUAACCCACCAUCACCUGCACCAGCACCUGCAAUAGACACACCAUCAUCAGCACCAGCACCAACACCUGAAGAUGACACGCCAGAACCACCACCCCACAAGCACAAGAGAAGAAAACACAAGCAUAAGCAUAGGAGACAUCAUGCGGUAUCUUUAGCUCCAGAACCAACAAGUACAACAAUCAUUAGGAGGAGUCCCCCAGCACCACUAGCUGAUGAUACUACUCCAGCAGAUUCUGAUGAGUCACCAGCACCAGCACCAAGUCCCAAUGCGGUACCAUUUUACUUUAAGUUACAUUGAUAUAUUUAUGGACCUCUCUGGUCUGGAUUAUACAGCAUUAAUGCAGUCAUGUAAUCUCAGCCAUCUGAUCUUUAUCGGAUGGUUCGUACUCUAACUUAGAGAAACAGGUCUAUAUCACACAUUUAAACUGUUAUCCGGUCAAGAUCAAAUGGUCAGGAUUUACAACAGCGUGAAUGCGUGAUUGCACCCAAUCCACUUUCCUUACAUACAUAAAUGUCUAAUAGAAUGCGACAUAUAUCAUAAAAUUGGAUUGGUUUGAGUGGAGAAGAGUUUUGUUCUCCUUAUAUAAGAUCUUAAUUCAAAUCUUGUAAAUAGAGAAAUGACGUGUUAAGAGAGAUUUGUCCCUUACAUGGGACCACUUGGCUCGACCUGAAUUUGUUAGGGUCCAAUGUGAGAUCCAGUAACAAGGGUUUAGACCCAAAAAAGAAUAAGACAAAGAUAUAUACUUAAAUCUUUGACGCUACUCUAAGAUUGUGAAUCUUGAAAGUGUGAACAAUUGUGAAAAUGACUGUAUAUGUUGUUUAUGUUUCAAAUCCAAAGAGCUUUUUGCAUGUGAUAAAACUGGCUAAAGCUUCGUUACCAAAUCUUAUGAUUUUAUUUUCACAGAAUGGUGCACCAUCAUACCAAGGGCAAUGGAGAAAGAUAAUGGCAACUGGUGGACUUGCUGUUGCCAUUUUGUUAUGUGUCACUUGAAUACCUGCAGCAGAUGCUAUAUAUAUCAGGUCAUUUGAAGAAACAUGGAUUCACGCAAAGCGGUUAAAUUUGGUUUGCAAAAAUAUAAAAUUAUUUCAUAUGUAUGAAAAUGAAUAAUGAAAAAUUAUACUUAUAAAUUAUUAAUUUUUUAUCCUUCCGUUCUUUCAUUGUAUUGUGGUCUUUGCUCAAACAAUAUUAGUGAUAUGAGAUUUUGAGUUAUCAGGAAAUGCAAAGUGAAAUAUGUGUGUCUAAUACUUCAUGACAAGUCCAUUAUAGUCAGUUUUACAUUAUGAAUCCAAAGCCGAAGGAAAAUGCACAGUAAUGAGAUCAUGAACACUCAAUUGCUUAAAAAUAAAACAUGUGUAAUGUACCAGUACUUAAUACUUACACAUAUAAUUGUGUUACAAAUUAAAUAUGAGCAUGAAAACUCAUGCAAUGCUGGAGUAAAUGUUAUUGCUAUUUUCUAACAACAGUCAACAAUAAGGUCCCCAAAAUAAAUGUGCAGUAAUAAGGCAACCAUAAGAUCAGUUAGAACUAGUUUGUGACCCAUGCAACAUGUAAAUUUAUGCUUAUAUGUGAAAGUGAUUACUCAUUAUUUUAAAUGUAAAAAUAUAACUUAUUUGAACCAUAAAAACACAAUAAAUGUGAUUGUAGCACAAAAAGAUGUGUUUUCCAAUAUAAAAAAAAUAGUAAAAGCUGGGUGUUCUUAAUUUGACAAAUUUAAACAAGUAUAAAAUUUUUGUUAACAUCAUGGGUUGUUUAUUAAGAUGCAAUACCACAGCAAAUUGAACAUAACAAAAGAACUUCUCUCCUUUACUUAGUUGUAGUUUGUACCAAAUUUAUAAUAGCAAAACGUUAAAUUUCUGUUUGUAAAUACAUCGGAACGUAAUGGUAAGGAACUAAACAGUUUUGAUUGUUGAAACUAAAUCACACAUAUAAGCUGAAAAUUUUGUAAAUUGUAAUAAUAGGACUAAAAGGAAAACAAUGGUUAUAGUUAUAGUGGGAGUCAUCUUCCAUUCCCACAAUGAAAUAUUUCAUACAACCAAAGAAAUGCAUCGUGAUAAAUUGAUAAUCAUAUGCAACAGCUUACAAUAUACCCUAUGUUUUGAUAGGAAGAAGUCUAAGUACAUUUAAAUAAUUUAAACAACUGGGAAUUCCAUAUUGUAUCAUACGCUAAACCACAAACAUAACUGUUCUUCCAUUAUAAAUGCAUAAAGAACUUUCAAAAUAAAUGACACAUCUGAUGAAAUAACAACUAGAUUGAAGAAAAUGAGAAUUGUGUACUUUGAGAAACUAGCAACCAUUAGUUAAAGAGUUUAGCUAAUAAUUUCUAAAAUAUUGAUAUAAAACAUACAACUUAAAAGUCUUGUAAUUUUGCUAGAAAAGAAACAAAUUACUUAAGGUUGAACAGAUUUGCAUAUUACAAAAGAAGCAAUGACUUCAAUUAUCCACUUCCAGGAACAUGUGUGAAUUUUAGAAAUGUGGGGGGGCGAAAAGUAGCUCCCCAAUUUUAAGCUCACAACCCACAAUAAUAUAGCUUCAAUUGCAAUUUAUAGCUAAAGAAUCUAAUAGUUCUAUGAGAAUGAGACACCUCAAAAACUUGCAUAAAAAAUAUCUUACUUAACCACUAACUUAGUAAGGGACACCAAAGGAGUUUUAAGAAGGAGGUAUCGGUUCAAACUCAGAAAAACUAUCAUAACAGCUAACUUAAUAACAUUUGCCUAUUGAUUUUUUUCUUUUGCCAAUGUUUUACACAUAUGACCUGCAAAUUUGGUUUAGAUCAAUUUUAAAAUUUUGAAGAAGUGAAGUAACAAAGUUAAAAAAAAGUAAUAAAAUUUAAAAAUAAUAUGAAUAAUUGCAAGAAAGCCAUUACAGUUGCAUCAGAACAUCGGCUAGCUUCAAUAAUCAACUACACAAUUAUGAAUGAAAUUUAGUAAAAAAAUGUUAAAAUUAGUAGUGUUUAUUUUUGAAAAAUCAAAAACUUGUCUAAUAAAAUGAUUAAUUCUAAAAAAUAAUAAUAAUUAAGAAAUGGUUAUGCAAAAUUGCGAGUUACCUAAAGAGGGGUAAAAAAGACCAUUGCAAUUCAAACAUACAUCAGACAAAGAGAAUGGAUUUCACUUCAGAAUUGAUUCCAAAAUGAAACGUGAGAUUGGAUUGAAGUGGCGAUACGUAACCAAACAUGUCCAAAUCGCUUUUGAUGGGAUGAAACCUGCUGUUGAUGAUUUUCACCAGCCAGCCAAACAUCCUUUUUUUUAGAAUUGAUUCUAAUUUAAAAUAGAAAAAUAAAAUCAACUUUUUUAUAUAGAGUCCAUGUUGAUUCUAGAGGUAGUGUAAAUUUUGAUUCUAGAAUAGAAUUGAUUUGAC